rnacentral:lncRNA from 1 species
ACUUUUUUUGUCCCAAUUUUAAGUUUAGACUCAAUUUAUUUUUGUCCCAAUUGCAAGUCCACAUCGACUCACAAAUGCGGCCCGAUUAUUUUGUCCUAGUUACAAGUCCACCGUCAACUCACAACUGGACUCGACCUUUUUUUUUCUCCGUUGAUAGCCCAACCUUGAUUUACAACUAGGGUCAACAUUUUUUUUGAGUUGCAAGUCCACCACCGACUCGCAACUGGGCCCAAUCUUUUUUGUCCCAGUUGCAAGUCCACCCUUGACUCGCAACCAGGGGUUGACCUUGUUUUGUCCCAACUGCAAGUCCACCCACGACUCGCAACUGGGUCCAAUCUUUUUUGUCUCAGUUGCAAGUCCACCCUUAACUCGCAACUAGGGGUGGACCUUUUUUUGUCCCAGCUGCAAGUCCACUCUCGACUAGCAACUGGGUUUAACUUUUUUUUUCCUAGUUGCAGGUCCACCCUUCACUCGCAACUAGGGCACGGUCUUUUUUUGUCCCAGUUGCAAGUUCACCCUUGAUAUGCAAUUGGGUCCUGAUCUUUUUUUCCCAGUUGCAAGGCCAGCAUUAACUCGCAACUGGGGCCCGAUCUUUUUCCUAAUUGUAAGCCCAUCCUCAACUCGCAACCUGGGUCUGACUUUCUUUUAUGUCCCAAUUUUGCAAGUCCAUCAUCAACUCGUAACCGGGGUAUGACCUUUUUUGUCCGAGUUACGACACAGUGGGCGCGUGAUUUUUUUUGGCACGAAACAAAUAAAAAAUGCAUGAACAUUUUUUAAUUGUCUCAAUUAUUUUUUGAAAUGGCACAAAGAAAUAUUUGUGCACGUGCAAGCUAGCUACAAGCAGCCUGAUCGAUUCUUUGACGGGACAUACUAGUACUAGUUGCUCAAUCUAGCCAGGCAAUCAAUUUGAUCGAUUCUAGCCCGUAGCAGCUCACCUACACAUGCGACACAGGAAAUGAUUGGAUCGCCACAACCACAACGCGGGACUGUGGCCAACAAGCACGUCAACGAAAAAUGCGUAAGAGGCUGUAAUUUUGAUGAUCAACAAACGGGAAAAACAAUGAAAAAAGUGAGGUGAUGCUGACAUCAAUACUUAGAUGUGAGAUAUUAUGUCACAUCUAGAUGUUAUAUAGACGAACCCAUAUUAUAAUUAUUUUUAAUAUGACUUUUUUCUAACGUACUAUUUUUUGGCACGGCUCAUUUCGACAUAACUUACGUUUCUUACCAAAGUGUGAUGACUGCUUUUAGAACCAACCCAACCACGUGACUUGUUGUAAGUUGCACUUCUUAUAUUCUUUCCCUUGCGCAUAGUUUGCAAUCAUGAACCGAGGCAGCAGUCGUUGAGCCAUGUGAUGUAUCAGCUCCGCCACACCUACUCCCUCCGUUCCGAAUUACUUGUCACAGGUAUGGAUGUAUCUAGAUAUAUUUUAGUUCUAGAUACAUCCAUUUCUGCGACGAGUAAUUUAGAAUGAAGGGAGUACAAAUUAGUCAUGCGUCCGCCACUGUUGGUAGCAGUUCCACCCACACGAUGGUCAUCAUCGACAAAAUGAAGGAGGAGGCUGCUCUUUGGUCCAUUGCAAGCGCCAAAAUUUUGAGUUUUGUAAUGUCACGAGGGUGAAAAAAAAUUUCAUGUGCUGCAGCAUGUCUAAAGCAUCCUCUUCCUUAACUAUCCAAAAUGGAAGUCUUUUGUCUCAUUAGAAAAUGUGGACAUUAUAGUUUCAUUAUCAAGAAAACGGAAGCGAAAGGAGGGGGGUAGGCGCGGCGGCUAGUGGAACAAAUCGAACAUAGAAAAAAAAUUACUUAACCGACCGGUGUGAAGAGCACUUCGGUCGUUUUGCAAUUUCCAGGGAGAUGAAAAGCUUCAUAUAGUUAGAUUUCGCAAAAAAAAAGCGCUUCAUAUAAUUAGGGGCCAAUUGUAUAUAAAAAUGCAUGACACGAUUUUCUCAAACAUCAUAUAAUAUUUUGGAACAUCUAGUGUGUAAGGUUGAGUUUUUAUUUUGUGAACUGAUAAGAUUAAGUAUCUCUACUUCUAAUGGAGCAGUUGGUAGUCUCUGCCAGUCAAUUUUCGUCCCAUCAGAAACGGUUUUUUUCGUCCGUUUUUUUUCGCUGGUUUUUUUGGUCACCUCCCCACCCCACGCACGCACCCCAAGAAAACCAGCCCGCAAGAGGAACACCGUUCCUCUCCAUCCCCUCCCCUCGCCGCCGACGUCCUCUCGAUCCCAUCAAUCCCAUCUAUCGUUGCCGCCGUCCGAGGGGGAGCCGCCGUCGCCUCUACAAGGCAGGGCGGUUUGAAUCCCGCAGCCGCCGAACUCCGGAAGAGGCCGCCGCCGCCUCUCCAGGGCAUGGCGGUUUCAGUCCCUGCCGCCGAACUCCGGAAGACGCCGCCGCCGCCGUCGAACUCCAUGACCCAUGGAUGCCACACAUCUUCCUCCACGCACGGCCGCACCCCCACCCCUUUUUCUUCCCUCCCUCCGGCCUUCAUCUCUACCCGUCCCACUCCUCGGCCUUCAAUGGUGAUAUGCUGCCUCCCACUCCUCGUGCUCCGAUCUAACAACUGACACAGCCGUGCGCGGAGGGCUGCUCGCCACCUUCUUGUGUCAUCGCCACUCUUCAUAGAGGUCGCCGCUCUUAGCCGGAACCAUCACAAACAAUAAUUAUGCAGAAGGGAAUACGGGCACAACGUCUGCUAAGGCUGGUCAUAGUGGGGAGUGUUAGGGAACGUAGUAAUUUCAAAAAAAUUCCUACGCACACGCAAGAUCAUGGUGAUGCAUAGCAACGAGAGGGGAGAGUGUUGUCUACGUACCCUCGUAGACCGAAGCGGAAGCGUUGACGCAACGUAGAGGAAGUAGUCGUACGUCUUCCCGAUCCGACCGAUCCAAGCACCGUUACUCCGGCACCUCCGAGUUCUUAGCACACGUACAGCUCGAUGACGCUCCCCGGGCUCCGAUCCAGCAAAGCUUCGGGGAUGAGUUCUGUCAGCACAACGGCGUGGUGACGAUGACGAUGUACUACCGACGCAGGGCUUCGCCUAAGCACUACAACGAUAUGAUCGAGGUGGAAUAUGGUGGAAGGGGGCACCGCACACGGCUAAGGAACGAUCACGUUGAUCAAUUGUGUGUUCUAGGGUGCCCCCUUGCCUCCGUAUAUAAAGGAUCCAAGGGGGAGGGGUUCGGCCGGCCCUAUGGAGGCGCAGGAGGAGUCCUACUCCUACCGGGAGUAGGACUCCCCCCCCCUUUUCCUAGUCCAAAUAGGAUUGGUGGAGAAGAGAGGGAAAGAGGGGAGCGCCGCCCCUCCCUCCUAGUCCAAUUCGGACUAGGGGGAGAGGGGGCGCGCGGCCUGCCCCGGGAGCCCCUUCCCCUUCUCCACUUUUGGCCCAUAAGGCCCAUUAACCCCCCAGGGGGUUCCGGUAACCCCCCGGUGAUCCGGUUUUAUCCGAAACUUCUCCGGAACGCUUCCGGUGUCCGAAUAUAGUCAUCCAAUAUAUCAAUCUUUAUGUCUCGACCAUUUCGAGACUCCUCGUCAUGUACGUGAUCACAUCCGGGACUCCGAACUAACUUCGGUACAUCAAAAUGUAUAAACUCAUAAUAACUGUCAUCGUAACGUUAAGCGUGCGGACCCUACGGUUCGAGAACAAUGCAGACAUGACCGAGACACGUCUCCGGUCAAUAACCAAUAGCGGGACCUGGAUGCCCAUAUUGGCUCCUACAUAUUCUACGAAGAUCUUUAUCGGUCAGACCGCAUAACAACAUACGUUGUUCCCUUUGUCAUCGGUAUGUUACUUGCCCGAGAUUCGAUCGUCGGUAUCCAAUACCUAGUUCAAUCUCGUUACCGGCAAGUCUCUUUACUCGUUCCGUAAUACAUCAACUUGCAACUAACUCAUUAGUUGUAAUGCUUGCAAGGCUUAUGUGAUGUGUAUUACCGAGAGGGCCCAGAGAUACCUCUCUGACAAUCGGAGUGAAAAAUCCUAAUCUCGAAAUACGCCAACCCAACAUCUACCUUUGGAGACACCUGUAGAGCACCUUUAUAAUCACCCAUUUACGUUGUGACGUUUGGUAGCACACAAAGUGUUCCUCGGCAAACGGGAGUUGCAUAAUCUCAUAGUCAUAGGAACAUGUAUAAGUCAUGAAGAAAGCAAUAGCAACAUACUAAACGAUCGGGUGCUACGCUAAUGGAAUGGGUCAUGUCAAUCAGAUCAUUCAACCAAUGAUGUGAUCUCGUUAAUCAAAUAACAAAUCUUUGUCCAUGGUUAGGAAACAUAACCAUCUUUGAUUAACGAGCUAGUCAAGUAGAGGCAUACUAGUGACACUCUGUUUGUCUAUGUAUUCACACAUGUAUUAUGUUUCCGGUUAAUACAAUUCUAGCAUGAAUAAUAAACAUUUAUCAUGAUGCAAGGAAAUAAAUAAUAACUUUAUUAUUGCCUCUAGGGCAUAUUUCCUUCAGUCUCCCACUUGCACUAGAGUAAAUAAUCUAGAUUACACUGUAAUGAUUCUAACACCCAUGGAGUCUUGGUGUUGAUCAUGUUUUGCUCGUGGAAGAGGCUUAGUCAAUGGGUCUGCAACAUUCAGAUCCGUAUGUAUCUUGCAAAUCUCUAUGUCUCCCACCUGGACUAGAUCCCGGAUGGAAUUGAAGCGUCUCUUGAUGUGCUUGGUCCUCUUGUGAAAUCUGGAUUCCUUUGCCAAGGCAAUUGCACCAGUAUUGUCACAAAAGAUUUUCAUUGGACCCGAUGCACUAGGUAUGACACCUAGAUCGGAUAUGAACUCCUUCAUCCAGACUCCUUCGUUUGCUGCUUCCGAAGCAGCUAUGUACUCCGCUUCACAUGUAGAUCCCGCCACAACGCUUUGUUUAGAACUGCACCAACUGACAGCUCCACCGUUUAAUGUAAACACGUAUCCGGUUUGCGAUUUAGAAUCGUCCGGAUCAGUGUCAAAGCUUGCAUCAACGUAACCGUUUACGAUGAGCUCUUUGUCACCUCCAUAUACGAGAAACAUAUCCUUAGUCCUUUUCAGGUAUUUCAGGAUGUUCUUGACCGCUGUCCAAUGAUCCACUCCUGGAUUACUUUGGUACCUCCCUGCUAAACUUAUAGCAAGGCACACAUCAGGUAUGGUACACAGCAUUGCAUACAUGAUAGAGCCUAUGGCUGAAGCAUAGGGAACAUCUUUCAUUUUCUCUCUAUCUUUUGCAGUGGUCGGGCAUUGAGUCUGACUCAACUUCACACCUUGUAACACAGGCAAGAACCCUUUCUUUGCUUGAUCCAUUUUGAACUUCUUCAAAAUCUUGUCAAGGUAUGUGCUUUGUGAAAGUCCAAUUAAGCGUCUUGAUCUAUCUCUAUAGAUCUUUAUGCCUAAUAUGUAAGCAGCUUCACCGAGGUCUUUCAUUGAAAAACUCUUAUUCAAGUAUCCCUUUAUGCUAUCCAGAAAUUCUAUAUCCUUUCCAAUCAGUAAUAUGUCAUCCACAUAUAAUAUCAGAAAUGCUACAGAGCUCCCACUCACUUUCUUGUAAAUACAGGCUUCUCCGAAAGUCUGUAUAAAACCAAAUGCUUUGAUCACACUAUCAAAGCGUUUAGUCCAACUCCGAGAGGCUUGCACCAGUCCAUAAAUGGAUCGCUGGAGCUUGCACACUUUGUUAGCUCCUUUUGGAUCGACAAAACCUUCCGGUUGCAUCAUAUACAACUCUUCUUCCAAAAAUCCAUUCGGGAAUGCAGUUGUGACAUCCAUUUGCCAAAUUUCAUAAUCAUAAAAUGCGGCAAUUGCUAACAUUAUUCGGACAGACUUAAGCAUCGCUACGGGUGAGAAGGUCUCGUCGUAGUCAACCCCUUGAACUUGUCGAAAACCUUUUGCAACAAGUCGAGCUUUGUAGACAGUAACAUUACCGUCUGCGUCAGUCUUUUUCUUGAAGAUCCAUUUAUUCUCAAUUGCUUGCCGACCAUCGGGCAAGUCAACCAAAGUCCAUACUUUGUUCUCAUACAUGGAACCCAUCUCAGAUUUCAUGGCUUCAAGCCAUUUUGCGGAAUCUGGGCUCACCAUCGCUUCUUCAUAGUUCGUAGGUUCAUCAUGAUCUAGCAGCAUGAUUUCCAGAACAGGAUUACCGUACCACUCUGGCGCGGAUCUCACUCUGGUUGAUCUACGAGGUUCAGUAGUAUCUUCUCCUGAAGUUUCGUGAUCAUUAUCAUUAGCUUCCUCACUUAUUGGUGUAGGUGUCGCAGAAACAGUUUUCUGUGAUGUACUACUUUCCAAUAAGGGAGCAGGUACAGUUACCUCGUCAAGUUCUACUUUCCUCCCACUCACUUCUUUCGAGAGAAACUCCUUCUCUAGAAAGGAUCCAUUCUUAGCAACGAAUGUCUUGCCUUCGGAUCUGUGAUAGAAGGUGUACCCAACAGUCUCCUUUGGGUAACCUAUGAAGACACAUUUCUCUGAUUUGGGUUCGAGCUUAUCAGGUUGAAGCUUUUUCACACAAGCAUCGCAGCCCCAAACUUUAAGAAACGACAACUUUGGUUUCUUGCCAAACCAUAGUUCAUAAGGCGUCGUCUCAACAGAUUUUGAUGGUGCCCUAUUUAACGUGAAUGCGGCCGUCUCUAAAGCAUAACCCCAAAACGAUAGUGGUAAAUUAGUAAGAGACAUCAUAGAUCGUACCAUAUCUAGUAAAGUACGAUUACGACGUUCGGACACACCAUUACGUUGUGGUGUUCCGGGUGGCGUGAGUUGCGAAACUAUUCCGCAUUGUUUCAAAUGUACACCAAACUCGUAACUCAAAUAUUCUCCUCCACGAUCAGAUCGUAGAAACUUUAUUUUCUUGUUACGAUGAUUUUCAACUUCACUCUGAAAUUCUUUGAACCUUUCAAAUGUUUCAGACUUGUGUUUCAUUAAGUAGAUAUACCCAUAUCUGCUUAAAUCAUUUGUGAAGGUGAGAAAAUAAUGAUAUCCGCCACGAGCCUCAAUAUUUAUCGGACCACAUACAUCGGUAUGUAUGAUUUCCAACAAAUCCGUUGCUCUCUCCAUAGUACCGGAGAACGGUGUUUUAGCCAUCUUGCUCAUGAGGCACGGUUCGCAAGUACCAAGUGAUUCAUAAUCAAGUGGUUCCAAAAGUCCAUCAGUAUGGAGUUUCUUCAUGCGCUUUACACCGAUAUGACCUAAACGGCAGUGCCACAAAUAAGUUGCACUAUCAUUAUCAACUCUGCAUCUUUUGGUUUCAACAUUAUGAAUAUGUGUAUCACCACUAUCGUGAUUCAUCAGAAAUAGACCACUCUUCAAGGGUGCAUGACCAUAAAAGAUAUUAUUCAUAUAAAUAGAACAACCAUUAUUCUCUGAUUUAAAUGAAUAACCGUCUCGCAUCAAACAAGAUCCAGAUAUAAUGUUCAUGCUUAACGCUGGCACCAAAUAACAAUUAUUUAGGUCUUAUACUAAUCCCGAAGGUAGAUGUAGAGGUAGCGUGCCGACCGCGAUCACAUCGACUUUGGAACUGUUUCCCACGCACAUCGUCACCUCGUCCUUUGCCAGUGUUCGCCUAAUCCGUAGUCCCUGUUUCGAGUUGCAAAUAUUAGCAACAGAACCAGUAUCAAAUACCCAGGUGCUACUGCGAGCUCUAGUAAGGUACACAUCAAUAACAUGUAUAUCACAUAUACCUUUGUUCACCUUGCCAUCCUUCUUAUCCGCCAAAUACUUGGGGCAGUUCCGCUUCCAGUGACCAGUCUGCUUGCAGUAGAAGCACUCAGUUUCAGGCUUAGGUCCAGACUUGGGUUUCUUCUCCUGAGCAGCAACUUGCUUGCCGUUCUUCUUGAAGUUCCCCUUCUUCUUCCCUUUGCCCUUUUUCUUGAAACUAGUGGUCUUGUUGACCAUCAACACUUGAUGCUCCUUCUUGAUUUCUACCUCCGCAGCUUUCAGCAUUGCGAAGAGCUCGGGAAUAGUCUUAUUCAUCCCUUGUAUAUUAUAGUUCAUCAUGAAGCUCUUGUAGCUUGGUGGCAGUGAUUGGAGAAUUCUGUCAAUGACGCAAUCAUCUGGAAGAUUAACUCCCAUCUGAAUCAAGUGAUUAUUAUACCCAGACAUCUUGAGUAUAUGCUCACUGACAGAACUGUUCUCCUCCAUCUUACAGCUAGAGAACUUAUUGGUGACUUUAUAUCUCUCAAUCCGGGCAUUUGCUUGAAAUAUUAACUUCAACUCCUGGAACAUCUCAUAUGCUCCAUGACGUUCAAAACGUCGUUGAAGUCCCGAUUCUAAGCCGUAAAGCAUGGCACACUGAACUAUCAAGUAGUCAUCAGCUUUGCUCUGCUAGACGUUCAUAACAUCUGGUGUUGCUCCAGCAGCAGGCCUGGCACCCAGCGGUGCUUCCAGGACGUAAUUCUUUUAUGCAGCAAUGAGGAUAAUCCUCAAGUUAUGGACCCAGUCCGUGUAAUUGCUACCAUCAUCUUUCAACUUUGCUUUCUCAAGGAACGCAUUAAAAUUCAAUGGAACAACAGCACGGGCCAUCUAUCUACAAUCAAACAUACAUAAGCAAGAUACUAUCUGGUACUAAGUUCAUGAUAAAUUUAAGUUCAAUUAAUCAAAUUACUUAAAGAACUCCCACUUAGAUAGACAUCCCUCUAAUCUUCUAAGUGAUCACGUGAUCCACAUCAACUAAACCAUAACCGAUCAUCACGUGAAAUGGAUUAGUUUUCAAUGGUGAACAUCAUUAUGUUGAUCAUAUCUACUAUAUGAUUCACGCUCGACCUUGCGGUCUCCGUGUUCCGAGGCCAUAUCUGCAUAUGCUAGGCUCGUCAAGUUUAACCUGAGUAUUCUGCGUGUGCAAAACUGGCUUGCACCCGUUGUAGAUGGACGUAGAGCUGAUCACACCCGAUCAUCACGUGGUGUCUGGGCACGACGAACUUUGGCAACGGUGCACACUCAGGGAGAACACUUCUUGAUAAUUUAGUGAGAGAUCAUCUUAUAAUGCUACCGUCAAUCAAAGCAAGAUAAGAUGCAUAAAAGAUAAACAUCACAUGCAAUCAAUAUAAGUGAUAUGAUAUGGCCAUCAUCAUCUUGUGCUUGUGAUCUCCAUCUCCAAAGCACCGUCAUGAUCACCAUCAUCACCGGCGCGACACCUUGAUCUCCAUCGUAGCAUCAUUGUCGUCUCGCCAAUCUUAUGCUUCCACGACUAUCGCUACCGCUUAGUGAUAAAGUAAAGCAUUACAGGGCGAUUGCAUUGCAUACAAUAAAUCGACAACCAUAUGGCUCCUGCCAGUUGCCGAUAACUUGGUUACAAAACAUGAUCAUCUCAUACAAUAAAAUUUAGCAUCAUGUCUUGACCAUAUCACAUCACAACAUGCCCUGCAAAAACAAGUUAGACAUCCUCUACUUUGUUGUUGCAUGUUUUACGUGGCUGCUACGGGCUUAAGCAAGAACCAAUCUUACCUACGCAUCAAAACCACAACGAUAGUUUGUCAAGUUGAUGCCGUUUUAACCUUCACAAGGACCAGGCGUAGCCACACUCGGUUCAACUAAAGUUGGAGAAACAGUCACCCGCAAGCCACCUUUGUGCACAGCACGUCGGGAGAACCGGUCUCGCGUAAGCGUAUGCGUAAUGUUGGUCCGGGCCGCUUCAUCCAACAAUACCGCCGAACCAAAGUAUGACAUGCUGGUAGGCAGUAUGACUUAUAUCGCCCACAACUCACUUGUGUUCUACUCGUGCAUAUAACAUCAAACCAUAAAACCUAGGCUCGGAUGCCACUGUUAGGAAACGUAGUAAUUUCAAAAUAAUUCCGAAGGUAGAUGUUCCGGUAACCCCCCGGUGAUCCGGUUUUAUCCGAAACUUCUCCCGAACGCUUCCGGUGUCCGAAUAUAGUCAUCCAAUAUACCAAUAUUUAUGUCUCGACCAUUUCGAGACUUCUCGUCAUGUCCGUGAUCACAUCCGGGACUCCGAACUAACUUCGGUACAUCAAAAUGUAUAAACUCAUAAUAACUGUCAUCGUAACGUUAAGUGUGCGGACCCUACGGUUCGAGAACAAUGCAGACAUGACCGAGACACGUCUCCGGUCAAUAACCAAUAGCGGGACCUGGAUGCCCAUAUUGGCUCCUACAUAUUCUACGAAGAUCUUUAUCGGUCAGACCGCAUAACAACAUACGUUGUUCCCUUUGUCAUCGGUAUGUUACUUGCCCGAGAUUGGAUCAUCGGUAUCAAAUACCUACUUCAAUCUCGUUACCGACAAGUCUCUUUACUCGUUCCGUAAUACAUCAUCUCGCAACUAACUCAUUAGUUGUAAUGCUUGCAAGGCUUAUGUGAUGUGUAUUACCGAGAGGGCCCAGAGAUACCUCUUCCGACAAUCGGAGUGACAAAUCCUAAUCUCGAAAUACGCCAACCCAACAUCUACCUUUGGAGACACCUGUAGAGCACCUUUAUAAUCACCCAUUUACGUUGUGACGUUUGGUAGCUCACAAAGUGUUCCUCCGGCAAACGGGAGUUGCAUAAUCUCAUAGUCAUAGGAACAUGUAUAAGUCAUGAAGAAAGCAAUAGCAACAUACUAAAUGAUCGGGUGCUAAGCUAAUGGAAUGGGUCAUGUCAAUCAGAUCAUUCAACCAAUGAUGUGAUCUCGUUAAUCAAAUAACAACUCUUUGUCCAUGGUUAGGAAACAUAACCAUCUUUGAUUAACGAGCUAGUCAAGUAGAGGCAUACUAGUGACACUCUGUUUGUCUAUGUAUUCACACAUGUAUUAUGUUUCCGGUUAAUACAAUUCUAGCAUGAAUAAUAAACAUUUAUCAUGAUGCAAGGAAAUAAAUAAUAACUUUAUUAUUGCCUCUAGGGCAUAUUUCCUUCAGUCUCCCACUUGCACUAGAGUCAAUAAUCUGGACAUACUCUUUCCGAGUAUCAGGGUUUCGGACGAGAACUCAUCUAUUACAUGGCCACUUCAAUGUUUUUUAAACUUAUUUGAACUCCGGGCUUCUUUUGUGUUCAGUAUGUAGCAUUUAAAGCGACGUCAUCAAUUUCCAACAUGUUCUGACAUCAUUUGUUGUUUUUCGGUCAUUUACCUGAUUGUUUAGAGAGCUAAAUGACCGUGAAAUUGAAAAUCACUACAAAAUGAAUCCUGAAAAUGUUGAAACUUGGCAUGGUAUCAUCAUAUCACCCGCAUAGCAUGCGCGAAAGAGUAGAGAGGGUCACGGCAAAAACUGGACGCACUUCGUGUACAAACUGGACAAACUCUUUCCGAGUAUCAGGGUUUCGGACUAUACAAAAAUAAAUAAUGCAGAAAAUAAAAAACUAUACAAAAAAUUACUCAAAAAUAAAUAGAAGAAAAUAAAUAAUGCAGAAAAGAGAAAACUCUAUAAAAAACUACUCAAAAAUAAAUAAAAGAAAAUACGUAAUGCAGAAAAGAAAAAACUAUAUAAAAAAUUUGUUGGCGCGCUGCCCUGUGGGUCUGCCAGACCUAGGGUGUGCAAAUGCAGGCCCAGAAGGGCCAGCAGACUCACAGGGCAGCGCGCCCUAAUUAAUUAGGCCCAGAAGCCUACUAUAUAAAGGAGUUCGAAGAGGUAGCCGCGACUGGGUUUAUAAACCAGUGCGGCUGCCCUUCGUCGGGCGAGGUGGGACUAAACUUUGGGGUGGCAGCGCAAGGCCUUUAGUACCGAUUGGUGGCUCCAACCGGUACUAAAGGCCCCCCCCCUUUAGUACCGGUUGGUGGCUCCAACCGGUACUAAAAGCCUUCGUUUCCCGCCGCUUGGCCUGGCGAAAAUAGGCCUUCAGUACCGGUUGGAGCCACGAACCGGUACUAAAGGCCCAUCCUAUAUAUAUAGCACUUACGAAAAUUUCAGUUUCAUCUCCCCACUUCGUCUCCAACCUCCGCCGCGCGCGCCGCUCGAUCCCGUCGUCGCCGCCCGUCGCCCGUACCGUCGUCCGUCGUCAUCGUCGCUGUCCCCGCCGCCGCCCGUCGUCGUCGUCGUCUCACGCUGCCGCCCCGAACGCCGCUGCCGUCCGUCAUCAUCGCCGAGGCCGUACGUCUCUCUCUCGCUCCCGCACACACAUACACACACACACCGGCGCCCCCGCCCCAUACGCCGGCGCCCCCGCUCGUACGUACGGGGCGGCGGCGUGGGGUGCCACACACACACACAUAUACCACACACACACGCAUACACACACACAUACACACAUACAUACACACAUAUACAUAUAUAUACACACACACAUGCAUACACACACACACAUUUUUUUUUACUUAUUUUCUGUUUUUUAGAAAAGUUAAUUAGAUGAUCGAAUGUUAGAUUAAUGUCAAAUGUUAGAUGAAUUAGCUAGCUAGAUAGAAAAAUUGUCGAACUAGAGAUUAGAACUAGUUGAAUAAUUAAUAUAACUAGUUUAUUUUUAGUAAGAAAAUUUAGGUAUAUAUGAGAUUAGAACUAGUUGAAUAAUUAAUAUAACUAGUUUAUUUUUAGUAAGAAAAUUUAGGUAUAUGAGAUUAGAACUAGUUGAAUAAUUAAUAUAACUAGUUUAUUUUUAGUAAGAAAAUUUAGGUAUAUGAGAUUUGAUGAUCUAAUUAAAAUAUUAUUUGUUAAUGAGUUUUUCUGUUUAUUUAAUUUUUUAUAUAUUUUGAGUUUAUAUAAAUGUUAGAUUAAUGUCGAAUGUUAGAUGAAUUAGAUAGAAAAGUUAAAUAUAUAGUAAUGUCAAUUGAAUAUAUAGUUAGAUAUAUUAAUGUCAAAUGAUAAAUGAAUAUAUAUUUGGCUAGAUAUAGGUGUUUAAUGUUUCACCUAUAUGAACAUAGGAAAUGUCAUCUGACGACGAAAAAGAUUUUAUUAUGUGCGAACACUGUGAAGACCAGCGCGGCCUGUGCGACCAAAAUUUCCUUAUUGAUGGUAGACGCUUCAGCAUCCAGCUGGAUGAGACAUUCGAAGUUGAUACAGUAAGUCACUUUGUCAAUUAUUGUUUGAAUGCAAAACUUAUGCUUCAUUUGCUUCAACUUAUAAUUUUAAAUUUUCACUAUUCUACUAGCGCAUCCCCUGCCAUGCAAGAAUUUUUGUCUUGGAUAAGAUAGGUUUUAGUGUUAUAGAUGAUAUGGAGGUAAAGAGAGUUUACUUGAAGACGGAGCAUGGGUAUACUUUCAACGUCAAAUUAUAUAAUGGAGACACAUACACCCAUUUUGAAUGCAAAACUUGGCAAGCACUAUGCAAGGCUUAUGCAUUUGAGCCUGAUAUGGUUAUCACCUUUGAUAUUCGUCCGGAAGAUGAUACUGAAGGUAAUAUAGACAUCUGGGUCGAUGUGCAAACGCCUCCAGUUCUACCAUUUGGUGAGUUUUUCUCAACCAUGCAUGCAUAUGUUUAUGUCUUUCAUACAGUUUAUUCAAAAAUAGUUGACAACUAAUUUGUAUUGUCAGCUUAUUUCGGUUCAAGCAAACAUGUCCGGCGCUUGGUAGACAGGUCCUACUACUGCCCCGGGGCUCAACUAAACUGCGAGGAGAUAAGUCAUUAUGUUUCAUGGCUUGAGGAUCUUAAUACUGUCAAGACAAUUUUUUUCCUAAACUUAGAAAUGUUAGUACUCAAAACGUGCGACCAAUGGUGAUCGUAUUGAACUACGGUCACAUCUAUAAUCAAAAGAUGGUAAGAUUUUAAAUAUUUGUCCUUAAUUAGUGCAUCUUUUGCAUACAUUAUUUUUGAAGCUAAACUUUCAUUGCUUAGUAUAUUAAUUACUAUACGAUGUUGUUCAACAGGGACUUUCGAUGACAGUUGUGCCUCAGUGGAUCGAGACAAAAGGUCGCAUGUCAAUGGUUAGCUUACGACCAAGAUUUCCUACAUUGCACAUGAGUGCAUUCAGGAUUUCUGAAAGCAAAGAAUGCUUCAUAGUGAAAGAUUGGAGCAAAAUUGUUAACGAUCGCAGAGAAGUACUAGGGGGCAGUAAGGAGAAGCGCAACCCAAGAUUAGGAGACAGAUUCAUCUGCAUGCUCCAGUAUGAUGAAUCAGGAGAGCUAUACAUGUUCUAUGCUAUUCUACCUGAGAGGGAGCGCCAGGAUCAGCAGCUACUAGUUCAUGCUCUUAAUUAGUACUUGUCUCAUGUCCGUGUCCUGAACUUUAAUGUUGGUGAUGAUUAUGUUGAACUUGAUGAUAUCUUUGCUUUUGUUACAAAGUGAAUGUUUCCUCUUUAAGCUAGCCAUCGUUGAUGAUGAUUAGAUAGCUAGAGGUAAUGACUAUGAUGAUUAAAUAGUGGUAAUUAGACGACUACGAUGAUUUUUAGCUAGCUAGAGUUUAUUUAUUUAUUAAUAUGCGAUGAUGAUGAUGAUGACGACUACAACUCAUUAUAACGUAAAACAAUCCUAAAUUAAAUUGAUAACACAAAUUUAAUUGAAAAAUACAAAAUAAAACAAAAACCCAUAACCAUUUAGUACCGGUUGGUGUUACUAACCGGUACUAAAGGGCUCCCGGACCCCGGAGCUGGCUCGUGCCACGUGGUUCCCCUUUAGCACCGGUUCGUGCUGAACCGGUACUAAAGGGGGGGGGGCUUUAGUGCCGAAAAUUUAGUGCUGGUUCCUGAACCUGCACUAAAGGGCCUUACGAGCCGGUGCUAUUGCCCGGUUCUGCACUAGUGUUUGUCCAUGGUUAGGAAACAUAACCAUCUUUGAUUAACGAGCUAGUCAAGUAGAGGCAUACUAGUGACACUCUGUUUGUCUAUGUAUUCACACAUGUAUUAUGUUUCCGGUUAAUACAAUUCUAGCAUGAAUAAUAAACAUUUAUCAUGAUGCAAGGAAAUAAAUAAUAACUUUAUUAUUGCCUCUAGGGCAUAUUUCCUUCAGGGAGUAACUUCAGGGAGUUUUUAAUUAUAGUUAGUUAAAUUUAUGGUCAAAGUUGGACCUGGGAAGCGCGGGCGCACUGUAUUUUGGAAUGGAGGGAGUAUUAUGUUACUCCAAGCACCUCUCUCCUCAUUAAAUACUUUCCACAUAAGCAAAAUUAUCUUGGGAUGUGUUAAGUUACUACCUAAGUUACCCCACUAUGGCUAGCCUAAGACUACCCACAGUGGGAGUAACAUAGGUAGUAACAUCACACAUAUCUAGGUUAAAUAGAUGAUGUGGCAUGCAAUAAAUGAAGAAAGAGAUGAAAAUGGUAACAUAGCUAGUUACUACUAGUAUGAGUAACAUCACACAUAUCAAGACAAGAUGUGUCUAUAGCCUAAUAAAUAAAAUGCUCCAUGUUACCACACAUAUGUUACUCCCCACUAUAGAGAUAGUAACAUAGACUAGUAACAUGGGCAUGUUACUAGUCUAUGUUACCCAUUGUGGCUAGUCUAAGAUUUUUUUUCAAAACUAUGACAUAUUUUAUAGCAAACUCGGAAACUAUAGCAAAGAGUGGAGAAAAAUCAAAACUAGCACCCCGUCGGCCACCCGUGGGCCGAAAUGGUGUUUUCGGUCUCCCUUUGGCCGAAAUGGACUUUUCGGCCUUGCCUUGGCCAAAAAGGUGCGUACCUGGGCCGAAAAGGCCUUUUUGCUCAGGAGUAGGCCGAAAAGUCCCUUGGACCCACCUUUUCACGUUAAUGGUUGACCGAAGUUGCAUGGCUCCACUCUUCGGCUUACGUUAGGCCGAAGCGAUUUUUUUAAUUUCUGUAUAUAAAUACUAUGCAACCAUUGUCCAUCUUAGACACUGAAAAGAAAUAUUUUCGCGCAACCCUUUCCCCUCAAUAUUUACCCGUCAACUCUUUCCCGCCAUCCAUUUCCCGCAAACUCCUUCCCGCCAUAUGUUCCUGCCACCCGUUUCCCGCCAACCAUUUCCCGCCGUACCAUAGUAUACCAUUAAAUAAAUUCUUCAUAUUUAAAAAAUGGGAUAAAAGCGCAAGCGAUGGAGUCAAAAACCUGACGUCACGCUGGGUAUAUGUGUUACCAGCCAAAUAGGAUAGCAUCUGGCUAAUGUAUUUAUAUAAAAAAAUUAAUUUUUUACAUACAUUUAAAAAAGGGAAAAGAUUUUGUGAAACAUUAUUUUUUUAAAUAUGAAGAAUUUAUUUAAUGGUAUACCGUGGUAUGGCGGGAAAGGGUUGGCGGGAACAUAUGGCGGGAAGGGGUUGGCGGGAAACGGGUGGCAGGGACAUAUGACGGGAAGGGAUUGGUGGGAAACGGGUGGCGGGAAAAUAUUGAGGGAAAAGGGUUGUGCGAAAAUAUAUUUUUCAAUGUCUAAGAUGGGCAAUGGUUGCAUAAUAUUUAUAUACCAAUUUUUUUUUAAAAAAUUGCUUCGGCCUAACGUAAGCCGAAGAGUGGAGCCAUGCUACUUCGGUCAACCAUUAACAUGAAAAGGUGGGCCUAAGGGAUUUUUCGGCCUACUCCUGACAAAAAGGACUUUUCGGCCUACUCCUGACCAAAAAUGUCUUUUCGGCCUAAGUACGCAUAUUUUCGGCCAAGGCAAGGCCGAAAAGUCCAUUUCAGCCAAAGGGAGGCCGAAAAUACCCUUUUCGGCCCACCCGUGGCCGACGGGUGCUAGUUUUGAUUUUUCCUCAUUCUUUGCUAUAGUUUCCGAAUAUGCUAUAAAAUGCGUCAUAGUUUUGAAAAAAAAUCCUAGUCUAAGAGCUCAAGAUUCUGCAGCACAGAUGAACAUGAGCGACCACUGUCACCACUCAUCGCCUAGGAUAUCGUGCAGUGGUGCAGGUUUCAUCUCUUUUGGCUAGAGUAGAUGGAGUCAUCAGUCAAACUAGAGGUACUCAAUUCGCUAUGGUCAGCUAUAUGGAAUUGAUUACUCUGUUUUAUUUGCAGGGAUACCCAGCAGUGCGUACAAUUUAUUGGUGCUCGUAGCUUCUCAUCAAUCUCCCACUGCUACUGGUGGGUAUGUGUUGAAAAUAGCUUCAGUUUUGACAGUGUUGCACUUUUCUUAAGAACUGAAUUUAAUACUUGCCGAUCAAACUACUUCCUGUACAGCCAUUAAUUGGCUGGUUAUAGUGGGGAGUAACUUAGACUAGUGUCAUGCAUAUGACACUAGUCUAAGAUAUCAUCUUCAUAAUGUAAAGUAACAUAUUAGUAGUAUCAUAGAUGACUUCAUUUAUUAGCUCAUAGACUCAUCUUGUCUUAGAAAGCGUUAUGUUACAGUAACAUAGUAUGUUACCACCUCUCAUUAAUUACUUGCCACAUAAGCGGAAUUUUCUCGAAGUGCGCUAUGUUACUAGCUAAGUUACUCCCACUAUGACUAGCCUUAGGAAUAAACAUAUUUUAGAGGAAAAAACUCUUCCUACAUAGUGAUAAGAGUAGGUUCAGCCCUCAUACUGAAUACACAUGGUUGCCCAUUAAUGAUAACUGGAGAAAUCAGCCAAUAGCUAAAUCAACAAUGGUACUCAUUUUUCGGAAGGCAGGGAUUUCCCCAUUCAUAUGCUUGCAAUAGAUAGGCUACAUACUUACGAAGCAUACCUCCCCUGAUGUAUUAAAUAGUUGAAGUUGUAGAAAAUGAGAUGCUACCAUGUCAAACUUUGGCACAUAAUAUUUGUAACAUAUUCUAGAUUGAUGAGGUGAAGGUAGUACAACCAUUUAUAUUUUUUAUAAAAUACUUUUUAAAAUCUUAUAAUUGUUUGUUCAUUUAUUUAUAGAAAAGUACCCUUGUUGCACUAUUUGAGUACCCUUUUUGUGCAGGUAAAUGGAACACUGGACAAGUUAAGCCAUGUAUAUUCCAUCUCCUUUAAUAUAUUGCUUGUGAUUGGCCUAAUAGGGAGUCUGCAAGACAUGAUUCCUAUUCAAAUCAUCUCAUCCAGAUCACUUUACAAUACUUUUCAUCAUAUUUAGAAACUGCGUGUAUGCAUAUAAGUUUCGUGAACAAUUUUUUUUUUGAAUAUCCAGGGCACUUUAUGCAUAUCCAGAUUACUUUACAAACAGAACAAAUGCGUGUAUUCCUUUUUCUAAAUAUCUAGAAAAGCAUUCCUCCAUGUAAUAGUGUUUUUGAAAGCAGUAUGUGUUGAGGAUAUAACUACCAGGUAUGACCCGCCCAAAAGGGGCCCGGUCAAUCCUAAUGGCGGGGUUACUAAAAGUUCAGUGAAUAUACAAGGCGAUGGUUUAGUAUAAGACUUGUAGUAUGCCCAAGCCCAGAGGCGGCUUAAGGCCCAUGAUUGUAAACCGCCAUGAGUAAGAAAGGCUUGUAAAGAAAGGCAUGUAAAAGAAGUCACUGAGCCGGCCGGGACUCUGUAGGCUGCCAGGCGUCAACCCGUGUAUAUAAGGGGACGACCCGACGGCGGCUUAGGACAAGAAACAGUAGAUCGAUAGCCAAACUAGCAGAUUCGCUCCUUGGUCAUCGAAACCUAGCACUACAACAUCAACUGGACUAAGCCUUACCUUCACCAUAAGGGGCCGAACCAGUAUAAACCUCUUGCGUCCUUUGUACCGAUUAACCCCUUUAAGCUUCCUAGUUGCGAUGGCCCUACGACUAAGUCCUUUCGCUAGGACAUCUGCCAUGACAAUUCCACGACAGUUGGCGCCAACCGUGGGGCCAGCGCACGGUGGAAUUGAGUUCUUGAAGGGCAACUUCGAAGGGCUCAAGGGAUACGCUGUGGGCCGGAUGACCAAAGAGUCGUCGCGGCAAGCUCUACAUCGACGACGAAGGCUGGGGCCCUAACGCCGGCUCGAUUGAGUACGGGUACUGAGUCCCCUUCGGCGGAAUCCAUGUCUUCAUUGGCCGGAUCGGCGAGUCAGGCCCUGAGCUGGACGUCUGCACCAACCUCGUCGAGACGGCUCAGCGCGCGAGACCCGCCCGGGCGCAACCCGCCGUGCGGCAGGCCUUCGUGGGUUGCAUCCAUGGAGGGGAAUUUUCUGAAGGAUCGAUAAACGAUGGUGAGACGACCAUCUGUUCUGACGGUGCGUCGUCCACAUGCGAGACAGAUUCUUUGUAUCAGCUACAAGAUGGCAUGCUUAGGGGUUGUUCCGAUGGCAGCAGUAUUCCAGACUCCUCUGAGGCGCCGAAUCGAGCCGGAGUCUUCAUGGCUGGCACUCAACCCGGAUAGAAUUCUAUGGCUGGGCAGCAAUAACCACCGGGUCAGCAGCAGCCGGGUCAGGAGACCCCGCGCGCCCCCCGGCUCAGGUACUAAUGGACCUCAUGCAUAAGAUGACGGCUUUGUUGACUGCUGUGGUUGAGCUGGUGGAUAAGGCUCAGCAUGACGCGGAGGUGUCACAACUACGUGAAGAGGUGGCACAGGCCAAGGAAAAUUUAGCAGUAGAAGAUGUCAAGAUGGUUGCAGAACGGGCGGCUUUCGAUGCUCGUGCUCGGCAGCUUCAAGCGGAGACUUUCCGGCUCUCGGUGGAUCUGAAUGCGUCAAACAAGGUCAUGAGGAGAAGACACCAGGAAACUCAGUCACGUAUGCCUCUGACUUACGAUCCUAGGAACCUUUUCCACACACCUGGGGCCGGUCCCAGCAACCCGUCGGAGGCAAACCGGAUCACAACACCCGGGACGGGGCGCUGGUUCAGCCGAGGGCCAUGGAACCACCCCGUGUGAAUAUUGCUUCGCCUCAUUACACGCCAGUACCACCGGGUCACUUCUCUAACCCUUUGGAGAAUUUAAUUGUUGCGUCGGCUCGUCUAGCGGCUCUCCCAAUGGAAGGUGACUCUCCAAUGGCGAUCGAAACAUGAAGGGUCAGAGAACUUCUUCAGACAGCCCUGGCACAGCAGGAUGCGUACUCUUAUAGUCGAGACAGAAUACAUUCAACCCCUCGCCCAAGCCGGAGCCCGAGCUAUAGCAGGCAUAUGGACUCAACGGCUAUGUCAAGCAAUGCCCAACAUCGUAACCAACCGCGCAGGCAUGACCCGGCGCAGGAUGGAUCCUUUAACUUGGUGGAUCAGGAGAGGAUCCGUCGGGAGGCUGAGCGGGCGGUUCAACUGGCAGCUGAGCAGGCGGCUCAUCAGGCUUUUCCGGUUUAUCCAGCAUCCUCUGUUGAGGCAGGAGUGGCUACAAGGACAGGAGGUGUCCCUUGCCUGGUGCCAGCUCUACGUAAUGAGUGCUUGCCAAAGGAUUUUAAGGGGCCCCAUGAGUGCCUAAUUACACGGCCGACUUGCAGCCCGGGGCAUGGAUUGAAAGUUAUGAGAUGGCGAUGGAGCUAUUGGAGGUCAGCGAUGCAGCAAUGGCUAAAUAUUUCACUAUGAUGUUGGGUGGAACAGCUCGCACUUGGUUGAAAGGGUUGCCGGAGUCUGUUAGCCCAGUGCUACAGCCCGGAAUCACUCGUUGAUGACCGACAUGCUCGAUGUGAUUCAUGUAUGCCUGUCUCCAUAGGUCUGUGCCGCUUUGGGUUCAUGACUAGCCAUGUCGGCCCGGGUUCUCUGUCAUAUGGAUGCUAGCGACACUAUCAUAUACGUGAGCCAAAAGGCACAAACGGUCCCGGGCCAUGGUAAGGCAACACCCGUGGGAUACCGUGCGUGAGGCCGCAAAGUGAUAUGAGGUGUUACCAGCUAGAUCGAUGUGGCUUGGAAUCGGGGUCCUGACAGCGUUGGCAUCAGAGCCGGACUGCCUGUAGGUUCGUUGAGCCAAACUGGUCGAUGUCGAGUCUAGAAAUGCUUUAGUUAUAUGUAGGGGAAUUGAUUGUGGGAGGGAACGUAAGGCUCUUUUACUCCUUUACCCUAUGCCUCUGAUCUGAGUCAUUCUCUUCUCAUUCAACAUGGGUUAAGGACUAGGCUCUCUUCUUCUAUCAGGUUCACGUGUUACUAAUCCGUAGUAGCUUAUAGGAUUGUUGUUACAAGCCCCAGUUCAGUUUCUACUAUUUUUAGUAUGUUGCUAAUUGAAUCAGAACCUUGAUAUGAUGUUGUUGAGUGGUAUUGUGAACUGUUGUGGAUGUCUCAAAUCUUUUUCUGAGCAUUUACAGCCGUUAUGCUGUCCAAUUUUCCCUAGAAAUUCUAAUGUCUUUGCAUUGUGGUUGUGCUUUCAGAUGGCCAACCGUGUCCAAAACCAAGUGGUUCGCCUGACCAGGUGCCUCGACGUGCCCGGUCAUACUGCUAUGUUAGUCUGGGUCAUGAUCGAGACAGGUUACCGUUGGUAUCCCGAAUACACCGUCGAAGAGCAGUUCCGUGACUUUAAUCAAAGCCAGUAUUUCUGCACCGUCAGGAUAUUUCCUUCUUAUCCUGGAUCUACCGAGCCCCUUCACUGUUCCUAUGGACUCGGGGUUACCGCUGAGAUGGCUGUGCAGGAUGCUGCCUAUUCCAUGAUGACCAUCAUGCGAGUCCGGACUAGCCUGCUUCGGAACACUGAUUUCCGUUACAUGCCAGCUUCACUUCCGGGAGCGCAAGGGUAUCUUCAGGCUAUCUAUGCUGACUCCACUCAGGAGGAUUCAUUAACUCGUACCACUGCUGAGAUGCUCGAAGAUAAGGACCGCGAGAAUCGGGCCUUGAGGCUGGAGCUUUUCAAUACCCGUGCUGAUCAUUGGGCCACAUUGACUCGGUUUGCACCUGCGGUGCAAGCUGGAUGUAUGGAUACAAGGGAUCUGUAUCCUGUGAGAUCAGCUCUGCCAGACAUGGUGGAUUGGCGUGAUGUGGGAGGCAUCACCCCACCCCGUGGUCCCCGCAGGCCACCGUUUGUUGGUCCAAGACCUCAUCCUAGCCCCUAUGGUCCACAGGCUCCUCAGGACUAUCUGUUUCCGGAUGAUCACGUUGAACUUCCAGGCUAUGGAGGUGACUUCUAUGAGGACUACUACGGAGCUGUCUGAGUUAGUAGUAGUACCACUAGUAUUGUAGUAGUUGUAUCCCCACUGUCCUGCGUGACUUGUGGAAUAUGACUUUGCGUGUAAUCGAUUCCGGAGCUGUAGACAAAUAAUGUAUAGGAGCUUGGAAUGCCUCCGAUGAGAUGUAACGUAUUUCAUCAUAGUUGUACUGUAGCCUGGGCUUGUACUAAACUAUGUAUGAUGUGUAUGACCGUUGGUAUAUAUAUGGCAGUUUUAUAUUACCAUGACAUAUGGAUGAACAUCUCUGCAUUCCGUGUUAUCCGUUACAUUCUGCACUUCCUUGCUAAGUUUGAGCGAUCCUUGUCUAAACCGUUGUCUUGUUUUCUCCUAGGAUGGUCAACACCCGCAGCAACCCUACUGCCCCGGAGCAAGGGGAAGACAGUGCUGCUAGAGGUGAAAAUCUGCCUCACCCGCCUUCUCUGGCCGAAGUAAUGCUGGAGGCGGAAAUAAACAAACGUGAGACCAACCGCCUGCUGGAGCGGAUUGAGCAGAACACUGCACGCCACCCGCGAAAUGACUUGGUGUCAAUCAAUGACUUUAUCAAGCUGUACCCACCAAAGUUUAACCAUUCCGUCGAGCCCCUCGACGCGAAUGACUGGCUUUGCAGCAUCACCCACAAGCUACGUUCUGCCAACGUAGCCGAAGCCGACAAGGUUACCUAUGCUGCCUAUCACCUCGAAGGCCCUGCUAGCCUUUGGAGGGAAAACUUCGAAGCUAUGCGCCCGGUCGGUCAAAUCACUACUUGGGCUGAAUUCAGUGAGGCUUUCCGUGAGCAUCACAUUCCGGAAGGUCUCAUGGAUCGCAAGAGGGAGGAGUUCUGCAACUUCGCCCAAGGAAGACUGACUGUGGAUGCUUACAGUCGUGAAUUUGGGAAUCUGGCACAUUAUGCCCCUGAAGAGGUAUCUACUGACGCUAAGGAGCAGGCAAGGUUCCGCAAGGGACUUAGCCCUCAGCUUCGCCGCGAUCUCCGUCUGCACGAGUGCACAUCCUUUCAAAAGUUGGUCAAUAAAGCCAUCAGCGCUGAGACAGGCCAGACUGAUUAUGACGCUUCACGCAAGCACUCCCGUGAUUUUGGCUCUUCAUCCGGCUCUGGAGCUCAGAAGCGCCGGGUGUGGAUUCCAAGCACGGCAUUGCCACCCAGGUUCAUUCCGAGGCCAUCCUUUGAGGCACCACGUCCCAACCAGCAAUUUCCACCGCCCAAGCCCUAUGGUGGCCCUACUGCUAAUACUGCUCCACGCCGCAAUGUGGUGACAUGCUUCAAGUGUGGAGAGCCGGGUCACUAUAGCCGAGAGUGUCCCCAGAACAACAACCCCAAUCAAACUGGAAAGUCUGUUGGCCGUGGUAAGCCCGCGGGAAAAACAUUCUACGCCAAGCCGGCCACCACUGCACGUGGCCAUGUCAACUAUGUUUCAGCUGAGGAGGCUCAUGAGGACCCCAACGUCGUCCUUGGUACGCUCCUUGUUAACUGCCAUCCGGCAUCUGUUCUUUUCGAUACUAGUGUUGGGGAACGCAGUAAUUUCGAAAAUUUUCCUACGCACACGCAAGAUCAUGGUGAUGCAUAGCAACGAGAGGGGAGAGUGUUGUCUACGUACCAACGCAGACCGACUGCGGAAGCGAUCACACAACGUAGAGGAAGUAGUCGUACGUCUUCUUCCCGAUCCGACCGAUCCAAGCACCGUUACUCCGGCACCUCCGAGUUCUUAGCACACGUUCAGCUCGAUGACGAUCCUCGGGCUCCGAUCCAGCAAAGCGUCGAGGAAGAGUUCCGUCAGCACAACGGCGUGGUGACGAUCUUGAUGUACUGCCGACGCAGGGCUUCGCCUAAGCACUACAACGGUAUGAUCAAGGUGGAAUUUGGUGGCAGGGGGCACCGCACACGGCUAAGGAACGAUCUCAAGGAUCAACUUGUGUGUCCAUGGGGUGCCCCCUGCCCCCGUAUAUAAAGGACCAGGGGCAGGGGUUUCGGCCGGCUAGGAGGGAGGCGCAGGGAGGAGUCCCACUCCUACCGGGAGUAGGACUCCUUCCCCCAAAUCCUAUUCUUAAUAGGACUCUUCGGGAGAAAGAGAAGAGAGGGGGCCGGCCCCUUCUCCUAGUCCUAAUAGGACUAGGGAAGGGGGGUUCGGCCGGCUAGCCUGUGGGCUGCCCCUUCUCUCUUUUCCACUAAGGCCCAAUAGGCCCAUUUGCCUCCCGGGGGGUUCCGGUAACCCUCCCGGUAAUCCGGUAAAAUCCCGAUUUCACCCGGAACACUUCCGGUGUCCAAACAUAGGCUUCCAAUAUAUCAAUCUUUACGUCUCGACCAUUUCGAGACUCCUCGUCAUGUCCGUGAUCUCAUCUGGGACUCCGAACAACCUUCGGUACAUCAAAAUGCAUAAACUCAUAAUAACUGUCAUUGUAACGUUAAGCGUGCGGACCCUACGGUUCGAGAACAAUGUAGACAUGACCGAGACACGUCUCCGGUCAAUAACCAAUAGCGGGACCUGGAUGCCCAUAUUGGCUCCUACAUAUUCUACGAAGAUCUUUAUCGGUCAGACCGCAUAACAACAUACGUUGUUCCCUUUGUCAUCGGUAUGUUACUUUUCCGAGAUUCGAUCGUCGGUAUCCAAUACCUAGUUCAAUCUCGUUACCGGCAAGUCUCUUUACUCGUUCCGUAAUACAUCAUCUCACAACUAACAUAUUAGUUGCAGUGCUUGCAAGGCUUAUGUGAUGUGCAUUACCGAGAGGGCCCGUAGAUACCUCUCCGACAAUCGGAGUGACAAACCCUAAUCUCGAAAUACGCCAACCCAACAUCUACCAUUGGAGACACCUAUAGUACUCCUUUAUAAUCACCCAGUUACGUUGUGAUGUUUGGUAGUACCCAAAGUGUUCCUCUGGUAAACGGGAGUUGCAUAAUCUCAUAGUUAUAGGAACAUGUAUAAGUCAUGAAGAAAGCAAUAGCAACAUACUAAACGAUCGGGUGCUAAGCUAAUGGAAUGGGUCAUGUCAAUCAGAUCAUUCAACUAAUGAUGUGACCUCGUUAAUCAAAUAACAACUCUUUGUUCAUGGUUAGGAAACAUGACCAUCUUUGAUUAACGAGCUAGUCAAGUAGAGGCAUACUAGUGACACUCUGUUUGUCUAUGUAUUCACACAUGUAUUAUGUUUCCGGUUAAUACAAUUCUAGCAUGAAUAAUAAACAUUUAUCAUGAUAUAAGGAAAUAAAUAAUAACUUUAUUAUUGCCUCUAGGGCAUAUUUCCUUCAGUCUCCCACUUGCACUAGAGUCAACAAUCUAGUUCACAUCGCCAUGUGAUUUAACAGCAAUAGUUCACAUCACCAUGUGAUUAACACCCAUAGUUCACAUCGUCAUGUGACCAACACUCAAAGGGUUUACUAGAGUCAGUAAUCUAGUUCACAUAUCUAUGUGAUUAACACCCAAAGAGUACUAAGGUGUGAUCAUGUUUUGCUUGUGAGAUAAUUUUAGUCAACGGGUCUGUCACACUCAGAUCCGUAAGUAUUUUGCAAAAUUCUUUGUCUAUAAUGCUCUGCACGGAGCUACUCUAGCUAAUUGCUCCCACUUUCAAUAUGUAUCCAGAUUGAGACUUUUAGAUUCAUCUGGAUCAGUGUCAAAAACUUGCAUCGACGUAACCCUUUACGACGAACCUUUUUGUCACGUCCAUAAUCGAGAAACAUAUCCUUAUUUCACUAAGGAUAAUUCUGACCGCUGUCCAGUGAUCUACUCCUAGAUCACUAUUGUACUCCCUUGCCAAAUCAGUGCAGGGUAUACAAUAGAUCUGGUAUACAGCAUGACAUACUUUAUAGAACCUAUGGCCAAGGCAUAGGGAAUGACUUUCAUUCUCUUUCUAUCUUCUGCCGUGGUCGGGCUUUGAGUCUUACUCAACUUCACACCUUGUAAUACAGGCAAGAACUCUUUCUUUGACUGCUCCAUUUUGAACUACUUCAAAAUCUUGUCAAGGUUUGUACUCAUUGAAAAAACUUAUCAAGCGUCUUGAUCUAUCUCUAUAGAUCUUGAAGCUCAAUAUGUAAGCAGCUUCACCGAAGUCUUUCUUUGAAAAACUCCUUUCAAAUACUCCUUUAUGCUUUACAGAAUAAUUCUACAUUAUUUCCGAUCAACAAUAUGUCAUUCACAUAUACUUAUCAGAAAUGCUGUAGUGCUCCCACUCACUUUCUCGUAAAUACAGGCUUCACCGCAAGUCUGUAUAAAACUAUGUGCUUUGAUCAACUCAUCAAAGCGUAUAUUCCAACUCCGAGAUGUUUGCACCAGUCCACAGAUAGAUCGCUGGAGCUUGCAUAUUUAGUUAACACCUUUAGGAUCGACAAAACCUUCUAGUUGCAUCGUAUACAACUCUUCUUUAGCAAAUCCAUUAAGGAAUGCAGUUUUGUUUAUCCAUUUGCCAGAUUUCAUAAAAUGCGGCAACUGCUAACAUGAUUCGGACAGACUUAAGCAUAGAUACGAGUGAGAAAAUCUCAUCGUAGUCAACACCUUGAACUUGUCGAAAACCUUUUGCGACAAUUCUAUCUUUGUAGAUAGUAACACUACUAUCAGCGUCUGUCUUCCUCUUGAAGAUCCAUUUAUUUUCUAUGGCUUGCCGAUCAUCGGGCAAGUCAACUAAAGUCCAUACUUUGUUCUCAUACAUGGAGCAUAUCUCAGAUUUCAUGGCUUCAAGCCACUUUGCGGAAUCUGGGCUCACCAUCGCUUCUUCAUAGUUCGUAGGAUCAUCAUGAUCUAGUAGCAUGACUUACAGAACAGGAUUACCGUACCACUCUGGCGCGGAUCUUACUCUGGUUGAUCUACGAGGUUCAGUAGUGUCUUGUUCUGAAGUUUCAUGAUCAUCAUCAUUAGCGUCCUCACUAACUGGUGUAGGUGUCACAGAAACAUUUUUCUGUGAUGUACUACUUUCCAAUAAGGGAGCAGGUACAGUUACCUCGUCAAGUUCUACUUUCCUCCCACUCACUUCUUUCGAGAGAAACUCCUUCUCCAGAAAGUUUCCGAAUUUAGCAAUAAAAGUCUUGCCUUCGGAUCUGUGAUAGAAGGUGUAUCCAAUAGUUUCCUUUGGAUAUCCUAUGAAGAUGCACUUCUCCGAUUUGAGUUUUGAGCUUAUCAGGAUGAAACUUUUUCAUAUAAGCAUCGCAACCCCAAACUUUAAGAAACGACAACUUUGGUUUCUUGCCAAACCAUAGUUCAUAAGGCGUCGUCUCGACGGAUAUAGAUGGUGCCCCUUUUUAACGUGAAUGCAGCUGUCUCUAAUGCAUGACCCCAAAAACAAUAGUGGUAAAUCGGUAAGAGACAUCAUAGAUUGCACUAUAUCCAAUAAAGUACGGUUAUGAUGUUCGGACACACCAUUAUGAUGUGGUGUUCCAGGUGGCGUGAGUAGUGAAACUAUUUCACAUUGUUUUAACUGAAGACCAAACUCGUAACUCAAAUAUUUGUCUCCGCGAUCAGAUCGUAGAAACUUUAUUUUCUUGUCACGAUGUUUUUUACUUCACUCUGAAAUUCUUUGAACUUUUCAAAUGUUUCAGACUUAUGUUUCAUCAAGUAGAUAUACUUAUAUCUGCUCAAAUCAUUUGUGAAGAUCAGAAAAUAAUGAUACCUAUUGCGAGCCUCAAUAUUCAUCGGACCACAUACAUCAGUAUGUAUGAUUUCCAAUAAAUCUUUUCUCGCUCCAUUGUUCCGGAGAACGGCGUUUUAGUCAUCUUGCCCAAAAGGCAUGGUUCGCAAGCAUCAAGUGAUUCAUAAUCAAGUGAUUCCGAAAGCCCAUCAGCAUGGAGUUUCUUCAUGCGCUUUAUACCAAUAUGACCUAAACAGCAGUGCCACAAAUAAGUUGCACUAUCAUUAUUAACUUUGCAUCUUUUGGUUUCAAUAUUAUGAAUAUGUGUAUUAUUAAGAUCGAGAUCCAAUGAACUAUUUUCAUUGGGUGUGUAACCAUAUAAGGUUUUAUUCAUGUAAACAGAACAACAAUUUAUUCUUUUACUUAAAUGAAUAACCGUAUUACAAUAAACAUGAUCAAAUCAUAUUCAUGCUCAACACAAACACCAAAUAACACUUAUUUAGGUUCAACACUAAUCCGGAAAGUAUAGGGGAGUGUGCGAUGAUGAUCAUAUCAAUCUUGGAACUACUUCCAACACACAUUGUCACUUCACCCUUAACUAGUCUCUGUUUAUUCUGCAACUCCCGUUUCGAGUUACUAAUCUUAGCAACUGAACUAGUAUCAAAUACUGAGGGUUUGCUAUAAACACUAGUAAAGUACACAUCAAUAACAUGUAUAUCAAAUAUACUUAUGUUCACUUUGCCAUCCUUCUUAUCCGCCAAUCACUUGGGGUAGUUCCGCUUCCAGUGACCAGUCCCUUUGCAGUAGAAGCACUUAGUCUCAGGCUUAGGACCAGACUUGGGCUUCUUCACUUGAGCAGCAACUCGCUUGCCGUUCUUCUUGAAGUUCCCCUUCUUCCCUUUGCCCUUUUCUUGAAACUAGUGGUCUUGUCAACCAUCAACACUUGAUGUUUUUCUUGAUUUCUACCUUCGUUGAUUUCAGCAUCACGAAGAGCUUGGGAGUUGUUUUCGUUAUCCCUUGCAUAUUAUAGUUCAUCACGAAGUUCUACUAACUUGGUGAUGGUGACUAGAGAAUUCUGUCAAUCACUAUCUUAUCUGGAAGAUUAACUCCCACUUGAUUCAAGCGAUUGUAGUACCCAGACAAUCUGAGCACAUGCUCACUAGUUGAGCGAUUCUCCUCCAUCUUUUAGCUAUAGAACUUGUUGGAGACUUCAUAUCUCUCAACUCGGGUAUUUGCUUGAAAUAUUAACUUCAACUCCUGGAACAUCUCAUAUGGUCCAUGACGUUCAAAACGUCUUUGAAGUCCCGAUUCUAAGCCGUAAAGCAUGGCACACUGAACUAUCGAGUAGUCAUCAGCUUUGCUCUGCCAGAUGUUCAUAACAUCUGGUGUUGUUCCAGCAGCAGGCCUGGCACCCAGCGGUGCUUCAAGGACAUAAUUCUUCUGUGCAGCAAUGAGGAUAAACCUCAGAUCACGGAUCCAAUCCGCAUCAUUGCUACUAAUAUCUUUCAACACAAUUUUCUCUAGGAACAUAUCAAAAUAAACACAGGGAAGCAACAACGCGAGCUAUUGAUCUACAACAUGAUUUGCAAAAUACUACCAGGACUAAGUUCAUGAUAAAUUUAAGUUCAAUUUAAUCAUAUUACUUAAGAACUCCCACUUAGAUAGACAUCCCUCUAAUCCUCUAAGUGAUCACGUGAUCCAAAUCAACUAAACCAUAACCGAUCAUCACGUGAGAUGGAGUAGUUUUCAAUGGUGAACAUCGUUAUGUUGAUCAUAUCUACUAUAUGAUUCACGCUCGACCUUUCGGUCUCCGUGUUCCGAGGCCAUAUCUGCAUAUGCUAGGCUCGUCAAGUUUAACUUGAGUAUUCUGCGUGUGCAAAACUGGCUUGCACCCGUUGUAGAUGGACGUAGAGCUUAUCACACCCGAUCAUCACGUGGUGUCUGGGCACGAUGAACUUUGGCAACGGUGCAUACUCAGGGAGAACACUUCUUGAUAAUUUAGUGAGAUAUCAUCUUAUAAUGCUACCGUCAAUCAAAGCAAAAAUAAGAUGUAUAAAAAAUAAACAUCAUAUGCAAUCAAAAUAUGUGACAUGAUAUGGCCAUCAUCAUCUUGCUUCUUUGAUCUCCAUCUCCAAAGUACUGUCAUGAUCUCUGUCAUCACCGGCAUGACACCAUGAUCUCCAUCAUCUUGAUCUAUAUCAAUGUGUCGUCACACGGUCGUCUCGCCAACUAUUGCUCUUGCAACUAUUGCUAUCGCAUAGCGAUAAAGUAAAGCAAUUAUUUGGCGCUUACAUCUUAUGCAAUAAAGAGACAACCAUAACGCUUUUGCCAGUUGCCGAUAACUUCAACAAAACAUGAUCAUCUCAUACAACAACUUAUAUCUCAUCACGUCUUGACCAUAUCAUAUCACAACAUGCCCUGCAAAAACAAGUUAGACGUCCUCUACUUUGUUGUUGCAAGUUUUACGUGGCUGCUACGGGCUUAAGCAAGAACCAAUCUCACCUACGCAUCAAAACCACAACGAUAGUUUGUCAAAUAGACUCCGUUUUAACCUUCGCAAGGACCGGGCGUAGCCACACUCGGUUCAACUAAAGUUGGAGAAACAGUCUUCCGCAAGCCAUCUAUGUGCAAAGCACGUCGAGGGAACCGGUCUCGCAUAAGAGUAUGCGUAAGGUUGGUCCGGAUCGUCUCACCCAACAAUACCUCCGAACCAAAGUAUGACAUGCUGGUAGGCAGUAUGACUUGUAUCGCCCACAACUCACUUGUGUUCUACUCGUGCAUAUAACAUCAAACCAUAAAACCUGGCUCGGAUGCCACUGUUGGGGAACGCAGUAAUUUCGAAAAUUUUCCUACGCACACGCAAGAUCAUGGUGAUGCAUAGCAACGAGAGGGGAGAGUGUUGUCUACGUACCAACACAGACCGACUGCGGAAGCGAUCACACAACGUAGAGGAAGUAGUCGUACGUCUUCUUCCCGAUCCGACCGAUCCAAGCACCGUUACUCCGGCACCUCCGAGUUCUUAGCACACGUUCAGCUCGAUGACGAUCCUCGGGCUCCGAUCCAGCAAAGCGUCGAGGAAGAGUUCCGUCAGCACAACGGCGUGGUGACGAUCUUGAUGUACUGCCGACGCAGGGCUUCGCCUAAGCACUACAACGGUAUGAUCGAGGUGGAAUUUGGUGGCAGGGGGCACCGCACACGGCUAAGGAACGAUCUCAAGGAUCAACUUGUGUGUCCAUGGGGUGCCCCUGCCCCCGUAUAUAAAGGACCAGGGGUAGGGGUUUCGGCCGACUAGGAGGGAGGCGCCGGGAGGAGUCCCACUCCUACCGGGAGUAGGACUCCUUCCCCCAAAUCCUAUUCCUAAUAGGACUCUUCGGGAGAAAGAGAAGAGAGGGGGCCGGCCCCUUCUCCUAGUCCUAAUAGGACUAGGGAAGGGGGGUUCGGCCGGCUAGCCUGUGGGCUGCCCCUUCUCUCUUUUCCACUAAGGCCCAAUAGGCCCAUUUGCCUCCCGGGGGGUUCCGGUAACCCUCCCGGUAAUCCGGUAAAAUCCCGAUUUCACCCGGAACACUUCCGGUGUCCAAACAUAGGCUUCCAAUAUAUCAAUCUUUACGUCUCGACCAUUUCGAGACUCCUCGUCAUGUCCGUGAUCUCAUCCGGGACUCCGAACAACCUUCGGUACAUCAAAAUGCAUAAACUCAUAAUAACUGUCAUUGUAACGUUAAGCGUGUGGACCCUACGGUUCGAGAACAAUGUAGACAUGACCGAGACACGUCUCCGGUCAAUAACCAAUAGCGGGACCUGGAUGCCCAUAUUGGCUCCUACAUAUUCUACGAAGAUCUUUAUCGGUCAGACCGCAUAACAACAUACGUUGUUCCGUUUGUCAUCGGUAUGUUACUUGUCCGAGAUUCGAUCGUCGGUAUCCAAUACCUAGUUCAAUCUCGUUACCGGCAAGUCUCUUUACUCGUUCCGUAAUACAUCAUCUCACAACUAACAUAUUAGUUGCAGUGCUUGCAAGGCUUAUGUGAUGUGCAUUACCGAGAGGGCCCGGAGAUACCUCUCCGACAAUCGGAGUGACAAACCCUAAUCUCGAAAUACGCCAACCCAACAUCUACCAUUGGAGACACCUGUAGUACUCCUUUAUAAUCACCCAGUUACGUUGUGACGUUUGGUAGUACCCAAAGUGUUCCUCCGGUAAAUGGGAGUUGCAUAAUCUCAUAGUUAUAGGAACAUGUAUAAGUCAUGAAGAAAGCAAUAGCAACAUACUAAAUGAUCGGGUGCUAAGCUAAUGGAAUGGGUCAUGUCAAUCAGAUCAUUCAACUAAUGAUGUGACCUCGUUAAUCAAAUAACAACUCUUUGUUCAUGGUUAGGAAACAUGACCAUCUUUGAUUAACGAGCUAGUCAAGUAGAGGCAUACUAGUGACACUCUGUUUGUCUAUGUAUUCACACAUGUAUUAUGUUUCCGGUUAAUACAAUUCUAGCAUGAAUAAUAAACAUUUAUCAUGAUAUAAGGAAAUAAAUAAUAACUUUAUUAUUGCCUCUAGGGCAUAUUUCCUUCAACUAGAGCAUCUCAUUCAUUCAUAUCCGAGAACUAUGCUCGAUUGCACAACACGACAUUCUGUGACAUGCCCUCUACCAUGGAAAUUCAAACCCCUGGCUCUAGAUGGCAAACUUCUAGAGUAAGCCAUGGGAAUGAAAUUCUUGUCAAUAGACUUGUCUUCCUUGCAUUCUUAAUAGCUCUCAAGUCCUCGGACAUAAACAUCAUCUUAGGUAUGGACUGGAUGUCAGCUCAUUAUGCUAAGAUUGACUGUGCCACUAGAACCGUUCAACUUACUCACCCAUCGGGCAAGACAAUUAAUGUCUUAACUCGAGUGGCCAAGCGCCAACUUUACUCCUAAAUGCCAACCCCCUUCCAGACCUUGAGGAUGUUCCGGUAGUCCGAGACUUUCCGGAUGUUUUUCCAGAAGAACUGCCAGGUGUUCCACCUGACAGGGAUGUUGAGUUUGUGAUAGACCUUGUUCCAGGAACCGUUCCAAUUUCUAGAAGACCCUACAAGAUGGCACCCUUAGAACUAGCCGAGCUUAAGAAUCAACUCGAUGAGUCCUUGAAAAAGGGUUUCAUCCGUCCUAGUUCCUCUCCUUGGGCUUGCCCCAUCCUCUUCGUCAAGAAGAAGGAUGGAACAGAUCGAAUGGUUGUGGAUUACCGACCUGUCAACUUGGUCACCAUCAAGAACAAAUACCCGCUUCCCAGGAUCAACGAUCUGUAUGAUCAGCUCGCUGGAUCCUCAGUCUUUUCCAAUAUGGAUUUGGGGUUGGGCUACCAUCAAAUCAAAAUCAGAAACGGGGACAUUCCCAAAACGGCCUUUGUUACUCGUUAUGGCCAAUACGAGUACACCGUUAUGUCCUUCGAUUUAACCAAUGCCCCGGCUACCUUCUCCCGGUUAAUGAACUCGGUUUUCAUGGAGUACUUGGAUAAAUUCGUCGUAGUAUACCUCGAUGACAUACUCAUCUACUCCAAAGAUGAAGAGGAACAUGCCAAACAUCUAAGGCUGGUAUUGAUGAAACUUCGAGAGCAUCGCCUUUAUGCCAAAUUCUCCAAGUGUGAAUUUUGGUUGCCAGAAGUGACCUAUCUAGGCCAUGUAAUCUCUGGUAAGGGUAUUGCUGUCAAUCCCGAGCGAGUUCAAGCCGUCCUUGAUUGGACUCCACCUGAGACGGUUAAGCAAGUUCGGAGCUUCCUUGGCUUAGCGAGCUAUUGCCGCCGCUUCGUCGAGAAUUUCUCCAAGGUUGCUAAACCUCUAACUGAACUCCUCAAGAAAGAUAAAAAGUUCGAGUGGACUCCACAGUGCGAGUUCAGCUUUCAGGAACUGAAAAGAUGCCUGACAUCUGCUCCCGUACUGGUACCACCAGAUUUCUCCAAGGACUUUAUUAUCUAUUGCGAUGCCUCGCGACAAGGACUAGGUUGCAUACUCAAGCAAGAUCGUCAGGUAAUUGCCUAUGCUUCACGGCAAUUACACCCACAUGAGGAAAAUUAUCCCACACAUGAUCUAGAGCUUGCAGCUGUAGUCCAUGCACUUAAAACUUGGCGACAUUACCUCCUCGGUAAUCGUUGCGAGAUCUUCACCGAUCACCAAAGUUUGAAAUAUAUCUUCACCCAACCAGAUUUGAAUCUCAGGCAAAGACGUUGGGUCGAGUUGAUCUCGGAUUACGACUUAGGAAUAACUUACACCUCGGGCAAAGCCAAUGUCAUGGCUGAUGCACUAAGUCGUAAGUCCUAUUGUAACGACCUGAUGUUACAACAAAGUCAACCACUUCUCCAUGAGGAAUUUUGUAAGCUUAAUCUUCACAUUGUUCCUCAAGGAUUCCUAUCCACCCUGGUGGCGAAACAUACCCUUAUGGAUCAAAUCAUAGCUGCCCAGAAGCGUGAUAAGGGCAUAUCCCGGAUUAAGGAAAACAUUGCUAGUGGAGUUGCUAAAUGUUUUUCCAUGGAUAAGCGGGGUGCUGUCUUCUUUGAGAACCGUUUGGUGGUUCCCAAGAAACAACAUCUACGCCAGUUGAUCCUUAAGGAAGCUCAUGAAUCCCCUCUCACCAUUCAUCUCGGUAGUACUAAAAUGUAUCAAGACCUACGCCAGAGGUUUUGGUGGACUAGGAUGAAGAGAGAAAUCGCUCAAUACACUGCUAGCUGCGACGUCUGUCAUCGUGUUAAAGCAGAGCACCAAUGGCCUGCUAGCACCCUUCAACCUUUGGCUAUUCCUGAAUGGAAAUGAGAUAAAAUCAGUAUGGAUUUCAUCACUGGGUUUCCCAGGACCAAGAGAGGGAAUAAUGCCAUCUUCGUUGUGAUCGACCGUCUUUCCAAAGUAGCCCAUUUCCUACCUGUUCGUGAGAGUAUCACUGCUAGCCAGCUAGCCGAUUUAUACAUCUCCCGAAUAGUGUCUCUCCAUGGUGUCCCAUUGGAAAUUAACUCAGACCAUGGGAGUCUCUUCACCUCUCGAUUUUGGGAAAGUUUCCAAAAUGCUAUGGGAACUCAUCUCUCCUUUAGCACCGCCUUCCAUCCUCAAUCAAGUGGUCAAGUAGAGCGAGUCAAUCAAAUUCUGGAAGAUAUGCUCCGAGCUUCUGUCAUCUCGUUCGGAAUGAGUUGGGAGAAAUGCCUUCCCUUCGCGGAGUUUGCCUAUAACAAUAGUUAUCAAGCUAGCUUGGGCAAAGCUCCUUUCGAAGUUCUUUAUGGACGAAAAUGUCGAACGCCUCUUAACUGGUCAGAAACUGGGGAAAGACAACUCUUUGGCCCGGAUAUGAUUCAGGAAGCGGAAGAGCAGGUUCGCGUUAUUCGUGAGAAAUUGAAAACAGCCCAAUCUCGUCAAAAGAGUCAAUAUGAUCGUAAACAUAAGCCUAUGACUUAUGAAGUCGACAAGAAGGCUUACCUUCAGGUUACCCCGUUAAAAGGAACCCAUCGUUUCGGUAUCAAAGGCAAAUUGGCUCCUCGUUACAUUGGACCCUUUCGCAUUCUUGCCAAACGAGGAGAAGUUGCCUACCAAUUGGAACUACCUCCGCAUCUUUCCAGAGUUCAUGAUGUCUUCCACGUUUCAAAACUCAGGCGUUGCUUCGCGGAUCCUAUCCGUGGAGUGGACCACCAAACGCUUGAUCUACAUGAUAACCUCUCUUAUCGGGAAUAUCCCUUCGUAUCCUUGAUCAAGCCGAGCGUACCACUCGACGUCAUAAUAUCAAGUUUCUCAAGGUUCAAUGGUCACACCAUUCCGAGGAAGAAGCCACUUGGGAAAGGGAGGAUCGUCUUCGACUCGAGUACCCCACCUUCUUUCCAGCGGAUCCUAAAUCUCGGGACGAGAUUCUUUUGAGUGGGGGUGAGUUGUCACAUCCUAGCUAGACCAUGCAUUAGAGUGUUGCAUCAUGUCUUCUUUCAACAGAAACUUGAAAUGGGGAAGGCAGAACCCCCAGCACCCCCCCUGAAAUCAACUAGGGUUUACUAAAAAUAAUUUCAAUGAACCUGAAAUGCCCUUCUAAAAAGUUCACCCUCUUUGUCUUAGGUUAGAACCUUUGGCAAAAUUGGUGCAAAAUUUUCUAGGUCAACAGAAGGUCAUUGAAUUAAAUCAUAAGUAUUUGAAUUUGGGCAUUUAAAUGCUAUAAAAUAAUUUAAAUGCUCAAACAAUUCUGGAUUUAAGUGAGGGCUGUUAGGAAUAAUUCCAACAGAGCCCACAAUUAUUUCCAGGAUUUUAGAAAGUGCCUAAGUAUUUUUAAUAAUGCCACAAAGUUACAGAAAAAUAGAAAAACAAAACAAAACAGGAAAGAGAGAAAGGAAAAAACUUACCUGGCGCCACCCAUCAGGCCCACCUGCCGGCCCAGCCCAGCCACCGCGCCAGCGAGCAGCUUGGCUUGGCCAGGCAGGCAGCGAGGUGCUCGACGGCGAGCACCGCAUGCGCGCCACGCAGCUGCCGCCGCCUCGCCGCUCCCCUCGUCGAGCUGUCGACGUGGGACGAGCUCCCUCUCUCUCCCUGACACCGCAUUUCCCCCUGGUUCCUCUUCCUCGCCCCCCCUUCGCCAUGGCCGACGCAGCCGUCGCCGUUCCACCACCGUAGUUGCGUCCAACACCGUCCCCGCGCUGCUCCACCGUGUCCUGAAGCCCCGCCACUUCCUCCUCGAUCGCUCCACCAAGCCACGCCCCGCCGGAGGCCUGCAAACGACUCCACCGAGCUCGUCUUCAACCUCAGGCUGCCCAGAUCGCCUCCGCCGCCCCGCUUGCUCCGGCUCGUCCCCGACCGCGCCGUCUGCUCCUACGUGAUCGCCGUGAGCUGCAGCACCUCUCCAUCCUCUCCGCUCUUCUUCUCGUGCACCACAACGAGCACACGAAGCUCACCCGCACGCGCCACCGCGGAGCUCGUCGCCGACGUGUCUUCGGCCAAACACCGGCCAAGCCAUCUAGUCUACUAACCUCACCGCAUCCCCAGGAGCACAACGCGCCACUCCACGCACCUCGUCGUGCCCCACAGCCCCGGGUUCGUCCUCACCCGACUUCGGCGACCGCCAAGCUCGUUGUCGGCGAUGUUUCCGGCCACCCCGAGCCCAACCACCACCACCAAACGCUGCGGCUCGUUCCCAGCUACCCGUAGAUGAUCUCCACCGUCAUUUUGGUUGCCUGAGGGCGUUUUCCGAAGCCCUCCGCCGUCUCGGCCUCGCCGGCGACUCAACGCCGGCGGGAUUAGCCCUGUUGACCGGUGGGUUUGACCACUGACGUGGACUGGGUGGGCCCAGUUGACUCCCCUGAGUAAAUGACAAGUGGGCCCCCCUCUGCUAAUUAUCCAGAUUAGUUUCUAACUAAAAUUAGUUAGUUUAAUUAGCUACUGACAUGCGGGACCCACCAGUCAGGUUUGACCUGGACCUCCCCGUUGAACCUGACGUCACCCUGACGCAUUGCUGACGCAGUAAUUGAUUUACUGGAAUUAGUUUUAUACAGGAAAUUCCAGAAAAUAGUUCAAACUAGAAAAAUUCAUAGAAAAUCAACCAUAGCUCCAAAUGAAAUAAUUUAUAUAUGAAAAAUUAUCAGAAAAAUUCAAUCUAUCCAUCUGUAAUGGUUUCAUGCAUGACAAAACAAGUUUACCUUGCUGUUUAAGCAGAAUAAGGAAAUGCACUAUUAAGGCCAUGUUUAAUGAGCUAAUAUUUGAAUCUUUGAUUCAAGUGAGUUCAUUCCUUUUUGUCAUAGCUUGCAUUAGGCCAAGACACAUUCAUAUUGCCAUGUCAUAGCAUGCAUCAUAUUGUUGCAUAUCGUCAUGUGUUGAUUGUGUUCCGAUGUGUUCUUCGUGGUAGGUUCUGCCCCCGAGGAUAUUCACGAGUAUCCAACUGAAGGGCAGUAUCCCGCUACCACUCCAUCAGGCAAGCAACCCAUUGAUCAUUCCGAUACAACCCAUGUUCUCGCCUCUGCUCUUGUUUACUGCAUUAAGACAACGCGAUUCAAACUGCUGUGUGCUACGGUAGUUGAACCCUUAUCCUCUGCAUGACCUGUCAUUGCCACAGUAACUAGAUGAAACCCACUAGCAUGUGUAGGAGUUGAUUGAGCCAUGUAUGUGAUUCCUACCUUGCUGUGCCUGCUAUGCUUAGAGUUGUGUCAGGUCUGGUUCAUCUGGGUGAUGGGCUAGAGUGAAAUGCUUAUGUCGGUAAUAUGAGGAAUGUGUUGAACAUGUUUUGGUAAAGGUAUCGAUGAGAGGCCAUGUAGGAGUACAUGGUGGGUUGUUUCAUUGAGGCCGUCCCUAAGAACUGAGAUCUGUAUGCAUGAUUUAAGAUUUAGCUACUACCACGCAUUGGGCCCUGAAAUAUGACCUCGCUCGACUUACUGACCCCUCUCGCAUCCGUCCAGAAGUUGCAACUAGUUUCUGGUGUUUGUAGGACAUGUGUUGGCGGCCGUGCUUAGCGCUGACCCUAGGGGUGGGCUAUGAUGCGGUAGAUACACUGUGGCCGGGUAUGACGGGCGCCCGUUUGGCGUCUCGGGACCCUGUACACAUCGUUUGGGGCCGUUGAGGACACCCCAGACGGAUUUCCUUGCAGAUGGAACCUGAAUAGGCGAUAAACCUGGACUAGAGACUUGUGAGGUUAGUUAGGUCGUGGUCUACACCCACGUCGGUUUUCGCUUGAAGUCUGCCGAGCACAUGUCGUGUGCAGACGCUAAGUGGUGGAAACAUGUGUGACGAAGUACACCCCUGCAGGGUAUAAAACUAUUCGAAUAGCCGCGUCCGCGGUAAAGGACUACUUGGUUGCCUAUACAGUUCAUAGACAAGUAAAUGGAUACUACUAAAAGACUCAAGAUAAGUGUGAGUACCGAGGAUGGCCCUCUCGUAGGAUGACGAGGGAGGAUCCCCGGUGGAGUAUUGUGUUGGUGAGUAGUGGACUCGUGUGCGAAAACUAUUUUAAUAAAUAAGUUUCGUAGGAUAGCUUAGCCAAGAGUCAAAGAUGGCUUGCUGCAAUAACCCCACCUCCUUCUUGAGAAUGAGCAUGUAUAGUAGGUUCUGUUGUAAGACUUGCUGAGUACCUUUGUACUCAUGUUUGCUUAAUUACUGUUUUCAGACGACAACACCGCCCCCUCCGAUGGGUUCUAUGUAGACCUUGACGUCGACGAGUGACUAGCCACCCAGGUGGUGAUCCUGGCCAUGGAGGGCCCUAUGUAGAUAGACAGGCCUCGAGGAGCCUUCUUUCUUUCUAGUGUCUGUACUCAGACCGGUUGCUUCUGCACGUGCUUGUAUGAUUGUAUGACUUGAGUGUCGGGUCAUGUGACCCCUAUCUGUAUGAACAUGUUAUGUAUGGCUCUCUGGAGCCUUUAAAUAAAGUACUUGAGUUGUAGAGUUUUGUUGUGAUGCCAUGUUGUAUGUACUCAUAUCGGGCAUAUUGUGUGUAUGAUUGAAAUGCUUCGUAUGAGUGGGAUCCGACAAUCUAGUUGUUUAUCCUUGGCAGCCUUUCUUAUGGGGAAAUGUAGUCUACUGUUCCUCAAGCCAUAGUAGUCCGCUACAGCCCGGUUCACCGGAGUCCUGCUAGCCCAGCACUACAGCUCAGGACACUUGACUGGCCGACAUGUGAUUCACUUCGUUCCUAUGUCUGUCCCCUCGGGGAAAUGUCGGUGACUUCCGGAGUCCUGCCUAGCCUGCUACAGCCUGGGGUCCCCGGAGUCCUGUUAGCCCAGUGCUAUAGCCCGGAAUCACUCGUUGAUGACCGACAUGCUCGAUGUGAUUCAUAUAUGCCUGUCUCCAUAGGUCUGUGCCGCUUUGGGUUCACGACUAGCCAUGUCGGCCCGGGUUCUCUAUCAUAUGGAUGCUAGCGACACUAUCAUAUACGUGAGCCAAAAGGCGCAAACGGUCCCGGGCCAUGGUAAGGCAACACCCGUGGGAUACCGUGCGUGAGGCCGCAAAGUGAUAUGAGGUGUUACCAGCUAGAUCGAUGUGGCUUGGAAUUGGGGUCCUGACACUGACCGAUAGAGAUCUUCGUAGAAUAUGUAGGAGCCAAUAUGGGCAUCCAGGUCCCCCUAUUGGUUAUUGAUCGGAGACGUGUCUCGGUCAUGUCUACAUUGUUCUCGAACCGUAGGGUCCGCACGCUUAAGGUUUCGAUGACAGUUAUAUUAUGAGUUUAUGAGUUUUGAUGUACCGAAGGAGUUCGAAGUCCCGGAUGAGAUCGGGGACAUGACGAGGAGUCUCGAAAUGGUCGAGACGUAAAGAUCGAUAUAUUGGAUGACUAUAUUCGGACAUCGGAAAGGUUCCGAGUGAUUCGGGUAUUUUUCGGAGUACCGGAGAGUUACGGGAAUUCGCCGGGAGAAGUAUUGGGCCUUAUUGGGCCAUACGGGAAAGAGAGAGGGGCUGCUUAGGGCAGGCUGCGCGCCCCCCAAGGCCUAGUCCGAGUUGGACUAGGGGGAGGGGCUGCGCCCUUUCCUUGUUUCCUACUCCUACUACAUGGAAGGACUCCUAGUUGGACUAGGAAAGGGGGAAUCCUACUCCCGGUGGGAGUAGGACUCCCCUAGGGCGCGCCAUAGAGAGGGCCAGCCCUCCCCUCCUCCACUCCUUUAUACACGGGGGCAGGGGGCACCCCAUAGACACACAAGUUGAUCUUCGUGAUCGUUCCUUAGCCGUGUGCGGUGCCCCCCUCCACCAUAUUCCACCUCGGUCAUAUUGUAGCAGUGCUUAGACGAAGCCCUGCGACGAUUGAACAUCAAGAUCGUCACCACGCCGUCGUGCUGACGGAACUCCUCCCCGAAGCUUUGCUGGAUCGGAGCCCGGGGAGCGUCAUUGAGCUGAACGUGUGCCAAGAACUCGGAGGUGCCGGAGUAACGGUGCUUGGAUCGGUUAGACCGGGAAGACGUACGACUACUUCCUCUACGUUGCGUCAAGGCUUCCGCUAUCGAUCUACGAGGGUACGUAGACAACACUCUCCCCUCUCGUUGCUAAGCAUCACCACGAUAUUGCGUGUGCGUAGGAAUUUUUUUGAAAUUACUACGUUCCCCAACAGUGGCAUCUGAGCCUAGGUUUUUAUGGUUUGAUGUUAUAUGCACGAGUAGAACACAAGUGAGUUGUGGGCGAUAUAAUUUAUACUGCUUACCAGCAUGUCAUACUUUGGUUCGGCGGUAUUGUUGGAUGAAGCGGCCCGGACCGACAUUACACGUACGCUUACGCGAGACUGGUUCUACCGCCGUGCUUUGCACACAGGUGGCUGGCGGGUGUUAGUUUCUCCAACUUUAGUUGAACCGAGUGUGGCUACGCCCGAUCCUUGCGAAGGUUAAAACAACACCAACUUGACAAACUAUCGUUGUGGUUUUGAUGCGUAGGGAAGAACGGUUCGUGCUCAGCCCGUAGCAGCCACGUAAAAAUUGCAACAACAAAGUAGAGGACGUCUAACUUGUUUUUGCAGGGCAUGUUGUGAUGUGAUAUGGUCAAGACAUGAUGCUAAAUUUUAUUGUAUGAGAUGAUCAUGUUUUGUAACCGAGUUAUCGGCAACUGGCAGGAGCCAUAUGGUUGUCGCUUUAUUGUAUGCAAUGCAAUCGCGCUGUAAUGCUUUACUUUAUCACUAAGCGGUAGCUAUAGUCGUGGAAGCAUAAGAUUGGCGAGACGACAACGAUACUACGAUGGAGAUCAAGGUGUCGCGCCGGUGACGAUGGUGAUCACGACGGUGCUUCGGAGAUGGAGAUCACAAGCACAAGAUGAUGAUGGCCAUAUCAUAUCACUUAUAUUGAUUGCAUGUGAUGUUUAUCUUUUAUGCAUCUUAUCUUGCUUUGAUUGACGGUAGCAUUAUAAGAUGAUCUCUCACUAAAUUAUCAAGAAGUGUUCUCCCUGAGUAUGCACCGUUGCGAAAGUUCUUCGUGCUGAGACACCACGUGAUGAUCGGGUGUGAUAGGCUCUACGUUCAAAUACAACGGGUGCAAAACAGUUGCACACGCGGAAUACUCAGGUUAUACUUGACGAGCCAAGCAUAUACAGAUAUGGCCUCGGAACACGGAGACCGAAAGGUCGAGCAUGAAUCAUAUAGUAGAUAUGAUCAACAUAGUGAUGUUCACCAAUGAAACUACUCCACUCACGAGAUGAUCGGACAUGGUUUAGUUGAUUUGGAUCACGUGAUCACUUAGAGGAUUAGAGGGAUGUCUAUCUAAGUGGGAGUUCUUAAGUAAUAUGAUUAAAUUGAACUUAAAUUUAUCAUGAACUUAGUCCUGGUAGUUUUUUGCAAAUCAUGUUGUAGAUCAAUAGCUCGCGUUGUUGCUUCCCUAUGUUUAUUUUGAUAUGUUCCUGGAGAAAAUUGUGUUGAAAGAUGUUAGUAGCAAUGAUGCGGAUUGGAUCCAUGAUCUGAGAUUUAUCCUCAUUGCUGCAUAGAAGAAUUAUGUCCUUGAUGCACCGCUAGGUGACAGACCUAUUGCAGGAGCAGAUGCAGACGUUAUGAACGUUUGGCUAGCUCAAUAUGAUGACUACUUGAUAGUUUAGUGCACCAUGCUUAACGACUUAGAAUCGGGACUUCGAAGACGUUUUAAACGUCAUGGACCAUAUGAGAUGUUCCAGGAGUUGAAGUUACUAUUUCAAGUAAAUACCCGAGUUGAGAGAUAUGAAGUCUCCAACAAGUUCUAUAGCAAAAAGAUGGAGGAGAAUCGCUCAAGCAGUGAGCAUGUGCUCGGAUUGUCUGGGUACUACAAUCGCUUGAAUCAAAAGGGAGUUAAUCUUCCAGAUAAAAUAGUGAUUGACAGAAUUCUCUAGUCACCAUCACCAAGUUAGUAGAACUUCGUGAUGAACUAUAAUAUGCAAGGGAUAACGGAAACGAUUCCCAAGCUCUUCGUAAUGCUGAAAUUGACGAAGGUAGAAAUCGAGAAAAACAUCAAGUGUUGAUGGUAGACAAGACCACUAGUUUCAAGAAAAGGGCAGAGGGAAGAAGGGGAACUUCAAGAAGAACAGCAAGCAAGUUGCUGCUCAAGUGAAGAAGCCCAAGUCUGGUCCUAAGCCUGAGACUAAGUGCUUCUACUGCAAAGGGACUGGUCACUGGAAGCGGAACUACCCCAAGUGAUUAGCGGAUAAGAAGGAUGGCAAAGUGAACAUAAGUAUAUUUGAUAUACAUGUUAUUGAUGUGUACUUUACUAGUGUUUAUAGCAACCCCUCAGUAUUUGAUACUAGUUCAGUUGCUAAGAUUAGUAACUCGAAACGGGAGUUGCAGAAUAAACAGAAACUAGUAAAGGGUGAGGUGACGAUGUGUGUUGGAAUUAGUUCCAAGAUUGAUAUGAUCAUCAUCGCACACUCCCUAUACUUUCAGGAUUAGUGUUGAAACUAAAUAAGUGUUAUUUGGUGUUUGCGUUGAGCAUGAAUAUGAUUUGAUCAUGUUUAUUGCAAUACGGCUAUUCAUUAAAGUCAAAGAAUAAUUGUUGUUCUGUUUACAUGAAUAAAACCUUCGAUGGUCAUACACCCAAUGAAAAUAGUUUGUUGGAUCUCGAUCGUAGUGAUACACAUAUUCAUAAUAUUGAAACCAAAAGAUGCAAAGUUAAUAAUGAUAGUGCAACUUAUUUGUGGCACUGCCGUUUAAGUCAUAUUGGUGUAAAGCGCAUGAAGAAACUCCAUGCUGAUGGGCUUUUGGAAUCACUUGAUUAUGAAUCACUUGAUGCUUGCGAACCAUGCCUUAUGGGCAAGAUGACUAAAAUGCCGUUCUCCGGAACAAUGAAGCAAGCAACAGAUUUGUUGGAAAUCAUACAUACUGAUGUAUGUGGUCCGAUGAAUAUUAAGGCUUGCAGCAGGUAUCAUUAUUUUCUGACCUUCACAGAUGAUUUGAGAAGAUAUGGGGAUAUCUACUUCAUGAAACAUAAGUCUGAAACAUUUGAAAAGUUCAAAUAAUUUCAGGGUGAAGUGGAAAAUCAUCGUGACAAGAAAAUAAGGUUUCUACGAUCUGAUCGCGCACACAAAUAUUUGAGUUACGAGUUUGGUCUUCAAUUAAAACAUUGUGGAAUAGUUUCACAAAAUCAUGCCACCUGGAACACCACAGCAUAAUGGUGUGUCCGAACGUCAUAACCGUACUUUAUUAGAUAUAGUGCGAUCUAUGAUGUCUCUUACCGAUCUACCACUAUCGUUUUGGGGUUAUGCAUUAAAGACAGCUGCAUUCACGUUAAAUAGGGCACCAUCUAAAUCCGUUGAGACGACACCGUGUGAACUAUGGUUUGGCAAGAAACCUAAGCUGUCGUUUCUUAAAGUUUGGAGUUGCGAUGCUUAUGUGAAAAAGUUUCAUCUCGAUAAGCUCAAACUCAAAUCGGAGAAAUAUGUCUUCAUAGGAUACCCAAAGGAGACAGUUGGGUACACCUUCUAUCACAGAUCCGAAGGCAAGACAUUCGUUGCUAAGAAUGGAUCCUUUCUAGAGAAGGAGUUUCUCUCGAAAGAAGUGAGUGGGAGGAAAGUAGAAAAAUUGAUAAGGUAAUUGUACCUUCUCCCUUAUUGGAAAAUAGUUCAUCACAGAAAUCUGUUCCUGUGACUACUACACCAAUUAGUGAGGAAGCUAAUGAUGAUGAUCAUGUAACUUCAGAUCAAGUUACUACCGAAUCUCGUAGGUAAACCAGAGUGAGAUCCGCACCAGAGUGGUACGGUAAUCCUAUUCUGGAGGUCAUGUUACUUGACCAUGACGAACCUACGAACUAUGAGGAAGCGAUGAUGAGCCCAGAUUCCGAUAAAUGGCUUGAGGCCAUGAAAUCUGAGAUAGGAUCCAUGUAUGAGAACAAAGUCUGGACUUUGGUGGACUUGCCCGAGGAUCGGCAAGCCAUUGAUAAUAAAUGGAUCUUCAAGAGGAAGACGGACACGGAUAGUAGUCUUACUAUCUACAAAGCUAGAAUUGUCGCAAAAGGUUUUCGACAAGUUCAAGGUGUUGACUACGAUGUGAGUUUCUCACUCGUAUCUAUGCUUAAGUCUGUCCAAAUCAUGUUAGCAAUUGCCGCAUUUUAUGAAAUCUGGGAAAUGGAUAAACAAAACUGCAUUCCUUAAUGGAUUUAUUAAAGAAGAGUUGUAUGUGAUGCAACAAGAUGGUUUUGUCAAUCCUAAAGGUGCUAACAAAAUAUGCAAGCUCCAGCGAUCCAUUUAUGGACUGGUGCAAGCAUCUCGGAGUUGGAAUAUACGCUUUGAUAAGUUGAUCAAAGCCUAUAGUUUUAUACAGACUUGCGGUGAAGCCUGUAUUUACAAGAAAGUGAGUGGGAGCACUACAACAUUUUUGAUAAGUAUAUGUGAGUGACAUAUUGUUGAUCGGAAAUAAUGUAGAAUUAUUCUGCAAAGCAUAAAGGAGUGUUUGAAAGGAGUUUUUCAAAGAAAGACCUCGGUGAAGCUGCUUACAUAUUGAGUAUCAAGAUCUAUAGAGAUAGAUCAAGAUCCUUGAUAAGUUUUUUCGAUGAGUACAUACAUUGACAAGAUUUUGAAGUAGUUCAAAAUGGAACAGUCAAAGAAAAAUUUUCUUGCCUAUGUUACAAGGUGAGAAGUUGAGUAAGACUCAAAGCCCGACCAUGGCAGAAGAUAGAAAGAGAAUGAAAGUCAUUGCCUAUGCCUCAGUCAUAGGUUCUAUAAAGUAUGCCAUGCUGUGUACCAGAUCUAUUGUAUACCAUACACUGUGUUAAGAGAGGGGGUACAAUAGUGAUCUAGGAGUAGAUCAAUGGACAGUGGUCAAAAUUAUCCUUAUUGGAAUAAGGAUAUGUUUCUCGAUUACGGAGGUGACAAAAGGUUCGUCGUAAAGGGUUACGUUGGUGCGAGUUUUGACACUGAUCCAGAUGACUCUAAGUCUCAAUCUGGAUACAUAUUGAAAGUGGGAGCAAUUAGCUAGAGUAGCUCCAUGCAGAGCAUUGUUGACAUAGAAAUUUGAAAAAUACAUGCGGAUCUGAAUGUGGCCGACCCGUUGACUAAACUUCUCUCACAAGCAAAACAUGAUCACUUUUUGGGUCUUAAUCACAUAGCGAUGUCAACUAGAUUAUUGAAUCUAGUAAACCCUUUGGGUGUUAGUCACAUGGAGAUGUGAACCAAUCACAUAAAGAUGUGAACUAUUGAUGUUAAAUCACAUGGCAAUGUGAUCUAGAUUAUUGACUCUAGUGCAAGUGGGAGACUGAAGGAAAUAUGCCCUAGAGGCAAUAAUAAAGUUAUUAUUUAUUUCCUUAUAUCAUGAUAAAUGUUUAUUAUUCAUGCUAGAAUUGUAUUAACCGGAAACAUAAUACAUGUGUGAAUACAUAGACAAACAGAGUGUCACUAGUAUGCCUCUACUUGACUAGCUCGUUAAUCAAAGAUGGUUAUGUUUCCUAACCAUGGACAAAGAGUUGUUAUUUGAUUAACGGGAUCACAUCAUUAGGUGAAUGAUCUGAUUGACAUGACCCAUUCCAUUAGCUUAGCACCCGAUCGUUUAGUAUGUUGCUAUUGCUUUCUUCAUGACUUAUACAUGUUCCUAUGACUAUGAGAUUAUGCAACUCCCAUUUACCGGAGGAACACUUUGUCUGCUACCAAACGUCACAACGUAACUGGGUGAUUAUAAAGGUGCUCUACAGGUGUCUCCAAAGGUACAUGUUGGGUUGGCGUAUUUCGAGAUUAGGAUUUGUCACUCCAAUUGUCAAAGAGGUAUCUCUGGGCCCUCUCGGUAAUGCACAUCACAUAAGCCUUGCAAGCAUUGCAACUAAUGAGUUAGUUGUGAGAUGAUGUAUUACGGAACGAGUAAAAAGACUUGCCGGUAACGAGAUUGAACUAGUUAUUGAGAUACCGACGAUCGAAUCUCGGGCAAGUAACAUACCGAUGACAAAGGGAACAACGUAUGUUGUUAUGCGGUCUGACCGAUAAAGAUCUUCGUAGAAUAUGUAGGAGCCAAUGUGGGCAUCCAGGUCCCGCUAUUGGUUAUUGACCGGAGACGUGUCUCGGUCAUGUCUACAUUGUUCUCGAACCGUAGGGUCCGCACGCUUAAGGUUUCGAUGACAGUUAUAUUAUGAGUUUAUGAGUUUUGAUGUACCGAAGGCGUUCGGAGUCUAGGAUGAGAUCGGGGACAUGAUGAGGAGUCUCGAAAUGGUCGAGACGUAAAGAUCGAUAUAUUGGACGGCUAUAUUCGGACAUCGGAAAGGUUCCGAGUGAUUCGGGUAUUUUUCGGAGUACCGGAGAGUUACGGGAAUUCGCCGAGAGAAGUAUUGGGCCUUAUUGGGCCAUACGGGAAAGAAAGAGGGGCUGCUUAGGGCAGGCUGCGCGCCCCCCAAGGCCUAGUCCGAGUUGGACUAGGGGGAGGGGCUGCGCCCUUUCCUUGUUUCCUACUCCUACUACAUGGAAGGACUCCUAGUUGGACUAGGAAAGGGGGAAUCCUACUCCCGGUGGGAGUAGGACUCCCCUAGGGCGCGCCAUAGAGAGGGCCAGCCCUCCCCUCCUCCACUCUUUUAUAUACGGGGGCAGGGGGCACCCCAUAGACACACAAGUUGAUCUUCGUGAUCGUUCCUUAGCCGUGUGCGGUGCCCCCCUCCACCAUAUUCCACCUCGGUCAUAUUGUAGCAGUGCUUAGACGAAGCCCUGCGACGGUUGAACAUCAAGAUCGUCACCACGCCGUCGUGCUGACGGAACUCCUCCCCGAAGCUUUGCUGGAUCGGAGCCCGGGGAGCGUCAUCGAGCUGAACAUGUGCCAAGAACUCGGAGGUGCCGGAGUAACGGUGCUUGGAUCGGUUAGACGGGGAAGACGUAUGACUACUUCCUCUACGUUGCGUCAAGGCUUCCGCUGUCGAUCUACGAGGGUACGUAGACAACACUCUCCCCUCUUGUUGCUAUGCAUCACCACGAUCUUGCAUGUGCAUAAGAAUUUUUUUGAAAUUACUAUGUUCCCCAACAGUGGCAUCUGAGCCUAGGUUUUUAUGGUUUGAUGUUAUAUGCACGAGUAGAACACAAGUGAGUUGUGGGCGAUAUAAGUCAUACUGCUUACCAGCAUGUCAUACUUUGGUUCGGCGGUAUUGUUGGAUGAAGCGGCCCGGACUGACAUUACACGUACGCUUACGCGAGACUGGUUCUACCGCCGUGCUUUGCACACAGGUGGCUGGCGGGUGUCAGUUUCUCCAACUUUAGUUGAACCGAGUGUGGCUACGCCCGGUCCUUGCGAAGGUUAAAACAACACCAACUUGACAAACUAUCGUUGUGGUUUUGAUGCAUAGGGAAGAACGGUUCAUGCUCAGCCCGUAGCAGGCACGUAAAAAUUGCAACAACAAAGUAGAGGACGUCUAACUUGUUUUUGCAGGGCAUGUUGUGAUGUGAUAUGGUCAAGACAUGAUGCUAAAUUUUAUUGUAUGAGAUGAUCAUGUUUUGUAACCGAGUUAUCGGCAACUGGCAGGAGCCAUAUGGUUGUCGCUUUAUUGUAUGCAAUGCAAUCGCGCUGUAAUACUUUACUUUAUCACUAAGCGGUAGCGAUAGUCGUGGAAGCAUAAGAUUGGCGAGACGACAACGAUACUACGAUGGAGAUCAAGGUGUCGCGCCGGUGACGAUGGUGAUCACGACGGUGCUUCGGAGAUGGAGAUCACAAGCACAAGAUGAUGAUGGCCAUAUCAUAUCACUUAUAUUGAUUGCAUGUGAUGUUUAUCUUUUAUGCAUCUUAUCUUGCUUUGAUUGACGGUAGCAUUAUAAGAUGAUCUCUCACUAAAUUAUCAAGAAGUGUUCUCCCUGAGUAUGCACCGUUGCGAAAGUUCUUCGUGCUGAGACACCACGUGAUGAUCGGGUGUGAUAGGCUCUACGUUCAAAUACAACGGGUGCAAAACAGUUGCACAUGCGGAAUACUCAGGUUAUACUUGACGAGCCAAGCAUAUACAGAUAUGGCCUCGGAACACGGAGACCGAAAGGUCGAGCAUGAAUCAUAUAGUAGAUAUGAUCAACAUAGUGAUGUUCACCAAUGAAACUACUCCACUCACGUGAUGAUCGGACAUGGUUUAGUUGAUUUGGAUCACGUGAUCACUUAGAGGAUUAGAGGGAUGUCUAUCUAAGUGGGAGUUCUUAAGUAAUAUGAUUAAAUUGAACUUAAAUUUAUCAUGAACUUAGUCCUGGUAGUUUUUUGCAAAUCAUGUUGUAGAUCAAUAGCUCGCGUUGUUGCUUCCCUGUGUUUAUUUUGAUAUGUUCCUGGAGAAAAUUGUGUUGAAAGAUGUUAGUAGCAAUGAUGCGGAUUGGAUCCGUGAUCUGAGGUUUAUCCUCAUUGCUACACAGAAGAAUUAUGUCCUUGAUGCACCGCUAGGUGACAGACCUAUUACAGGAGCAGAUGCAGACGUUAUGAACGUUUGGCUAGCUCAAUAUGAUGACUACUUGAUAGUUUAGUGCACCAUGCUUAACGACUUAGAAUCGGGACUUAGAAGAUGUUUUAAACGUCAUGGACCAUAUGAGAUGUUCCAGGAGUUGAAGUUACUAUUUCAAGCAAAUACCCGAGUUGAGAGAUAUGAAGUCUCCAACAAGUUCUAUAGCAAAAAGAUGGAGGAGAAUCGCUCAAGCAGUGAGCAUGUGCUCGGAUUGUCUGGGUACUACAAUCGCUUGAAUCAAAUGGGAGUUAAUCUUCCAGAUAAAAUAGUGAUUGACAGAAUUCUCUAGUCACCAUCACCAAGUUAGUAGAACUUUGUGAUGAACUAUAAUAUGCAAGGGAUAACGGAAACGAUUCCCAAGCUCUUCGUAAUGCUGAAAUUGACGAAGGUAGAAAUCGAGAAAAACAUCAAGUGUUGAUGGUAGACAAGACCACUAGUUUCAAGAAAAGGGCAGAGGGAAGAAGGGGAACUUCAAGAAGAACAGCAAGCAAGUUGCUGCUCAAGUGAAGAAGCCCAAGUCUGGUCCUAAGCCUGAGACUAAGUGCUUCUACUGCAAAGGGACUGGUCACUGGAAGCGGAACUACCCCAAGUGAUUAGCGGAUAAGAAGGAUGGCAAAGUGAACAUAAGUAUAUUUGAUAUACAUGUUAUUGAUGUGUACUUUACUAGUGUUUAUAGCAACCCCUCAGUAUUUGAUACUAGUUCAGUUGCUAAGAUUAGUAACUCGAAACGGGAGUUGCAGAAUAAACAGAAACUAGUAAAGGGUGAGGUGACGAUGUGUGUUGGAAGUAGUUCCAAGAUUGAUAUGAUCAUCAUCGCACACUCCCUAUACUUUCAGGAUUAGUGUUGAAACUAAAUAAGUGUUAUUUGGUGUUUGCGUUGAGCAUGAAUAUGAUUUGAUCAUGUUUAUUGCAAUACAGCUAUUCAUUAAAGUCAAAGAAUAAUUGUUGUUCUGUUUACAUGAAUAAAACCUUCGAUGGUCAUACACCAAUGAAAAUAGUUUGUUGGAUCUCGAUCGUAGUGAUACACAUAUUCAUAAUAUUGAAACCAAAAGAUGCAAAGUUAAUAAUGAUAGUGCAACUUAUUUGUGGCACUGCCGUUUAAGUCAUAUUGGUGUAAAGCGCAUGAAGAAACUCCAUGCUGAUGGGCUUUUGGAAUCACUUGAUUAUGAAUCACUUGAUGCUUGCGAACCAUGCCUUAUGGGCAAGAUGACUAAAAUGCCGUUCUCCGGAACAAUGAAGCAAGCAACAGAUUUGUUGGAAAUCAUACAUACUGAUGUAUGUGGUCCGAUGAAUAUUAAGGCUUGCAGCAGGUAUCAUUAUUUUCUGACCUUCACAGAUGAUUUGAGCAGAUAUGGGGAUAUCUACUUCAUGAAACAUAAGUCUGAAACAUUUGAAAAGUUCAAAUAAUUUCAGGGUGAAGUGGAAAAUCAUCGUGACAAGAAAAUAAGGUUUCUACGAUCUGAUCGCGCACACAAAUAUUUGAGUUACGAGUUUGGUCUUCAAUUAAAACAUUGUGGAAUAGUUUCACAAACUCAUGCCACCUGGAACACCACAGCAUAAUGGUGUGUCCGAACGUCAUAACCGUACUUUAUUAGAUAUAGUGCGAUCUAUGAUGUCUCUUACCGAUCUACCACUAUCGUUUUGGGGUUAUGCAUUAGAGACAGCUGCAUUCACGUUAAAUAGGGCACCAUCUAAAUCUGUUGAGACGACAACGUGUGAACUAUGGUUUGGCAAGAAACCUAAGCUGUCGUUUCUUAAAGUUUGGAGUUGCGAUGCUUAUGUGAAAAAGUUUCAUCUCGAUAAGCUCAAACUCAAAUCGGAGAAAUAUGUCUUCAUAGGAUACCCAAAGGAGACAGUUGGGUACACCUUCUAUCACAGAUCCGAAGGCAAGACAUUCGUUGCUAAGAAUGGAUCCUUUCUAGAGAAGGAGUUUCUCUCGAAAGAAGUGAGUGGGAGGAAAGUAGAAAAAUUGAUAAGGUAAUUGUACCUUCUCCCUUAUUGGAAAAUAGUUCAUCACAGAAAUCUGUUCCUGUGACUACUACACCAAUUAGUGAGGAAGCUAAUGAUGAUGAUCAUGUAACUUCAAAUCAAGUUACUACCGAAUCUCGUAGGUAAACCAGAGUGAGAUCCACACCAGAGUGGUACGGUAAUCCUAUUCUGGAGGUCAUGUUACUUGACCAUGACGAACCUACGAACUAUGAGGAAGCGAUGAUGAGCCCAGAUUCCGAUAAAUGGCUUGAGGCCAUGAAAUCUGAGAUAGGAUCCAUGUAUGAGAACAAAGUCUGGACUUUGGUGGACUUGCCCGAGGAUCGGCAAGCCAUUGAUAAUAAAUGGAUCUUCAAGAGGAAGACGGACACGGAUAGUAGUCUUACUAUCUACAAAGCUAGAAUUGUCGCAAAAGGUUUUCGACAAGUUCAAGGUGUUGACUACAAUGAGAGUUUCUCACUCGUAUCUAUGCUUAAGUCUGUCCAAAUCAUGUUAGCAAUUGCCGCAUUUUAUGAAAUCUGGGAAAUGGAUAAACAAAACUGCAUUCCUUAAUGGAUUUAUUAAAGAAGAGUUGUAUGUGAUGCAACAAGAUGGUUUUGUCAAUCCUAAAGGUGCUAACAAAAUAUGCAAGCUCCAGCGAUCCAUUUAUGGACUGGUGCAAGCAUCUCGGAGUUGGAAUAUACGCUUUGAUAAGUUGAUCAAAGCCUAUAGUUUUAUACAGACUUGCGGUGAAGCCUGUAUUUACAAGAAAGUGAGUGGGAGCACUACAACAUUUUUGAUAAGUAUAUGUGAGUGACAUAUUGUUGAUCGGAAAUAAUGUAGAAUUAUUCUGCAAAGCAUAAAGGAGUGUUUGAAAGGAGUUUUUCAAAGAAAGACCUCGCUGAAGCUGCUUACAUAUUGAGUAUCAAGAUCUAUAGAGAUAGAUCAAGAUGCUUGAUAAGUUUUUUCGAUGAGUACAUACCUUGACAAGAUUUUGAAGUAGUUCAAAAUGGAACAGUCAAAGAAAAAGUUUCUUGCCUAUGUUACAAGGUGAGAAGUUGAGUAAGACUCAAAGCCCGACCAUGGCAGAAGAUAGAAAGAGAAUGAAAGUCAUUGCCUAUGCCUCAGUCAUAGGUUCUAUAAAGUAUGCCAUGCUGUGUACCAGAUCUAUUGUAUACCAUACACUGUGUUAAGAGAGGGAGUACAAUAGUGAUCUAGGAGUAGAUCAAUGGACAGCGGUCAAAAUUAUCCUUAUUGGAAUAAGGAUAUGUUUCUCGAUUACGGAGGUGACAAAAGGUUCGUCGUAAAGGGUUACGUCGGUGCGAGUUUUGACACUGAUCCAGAUGACUCUAAGUCUCAAUCUGGAUACAUAUUGAAAGUGGGAGCAAUUAGCUAGAGUAGCUCCAUGCAGAGCAUUGUUGACAUAGAAAUUUGAAAAAUACAUGCGGAUCUGAAUGUGGCCGACCCGUUGACUAAACUUCUCUCACAAGCAAAACAUGAUCACUUUUUGGGUCUUAAUCACAUAGCGAUGUGAACUAGAUUAUUGAAUCUAGUAAACCCUUUGGGUGUUAGUCACAUGGAGAUGUGAACCAAUCACAUAAAGAUGUGAACUAUUGAUGUUAAAUCACAUGGCGAUGUGAUCUAGAUUAUUGACUCUAGUGCAAGUGGGAGACUGGAGGAAAUAUGCCCUAGAGGCAAUAAUAAAGUUAUUAUUUAUUUCCUUAUAUCAUGAUAAAUGUUUAUUAUUCAUGCUAGAAUUGUAUUAACCGGAAACAUAAUACAUGUGUGAAUACAUAGACAAACAGAGUGUCACUAGUAUGCCUCUACUUGACUAGCUCGUUAAUCAAAGAUGGUUAUGUUUCCUAACCAUGGACAAAGAGUUGUUAUUUGAUUAACGGGAUCACAUCAUUAGGUGAAUGAUCUGAUUGACAUGACCCAUUCCAUUAGCUUAGCACCCGAUCGUUUAGUAUGUUGCUAUUGCUUUCUUCAUGACUUAUACAUGUUCCUAUGACUAUGAGAUUAUGCAACUCCCGUUUACCGGAGGAACACUUUGUCUGCUACCAAACGUCACAACGUAACUGGGUGAUUAUAAAGGUGCUCUACAGGUGUCUCCAAAGGUACAUGUUGGGUUGGCGUAUUUCGAGAUUAGGAUUUGUCACUCCAAUUGUCAGAGAGGUAUCUCUGGGCCCUCUCGGUAAUGCACAUCACAUAAGCCUUGCAAGCAUUGCAACUAAUGAGUUAGUUGUGAGAUGAUGUAUUACGGAACGAGUAAAGAGACUUGCCGGUAACGAGAUUGAACUAGGUAUUGAGAUACCGACGAUCGAAUCUCGGGCAAGUAACAUACCGAUGACAAAGGGAACAACGUAUGUUGUUAUGCGGUCUGAUCGAUAAAGAUCUUCGUAGAAUAUGUAGGAGCCAAUAUGGGCAUCCAGGUCCCGCUAUUGGUUAUUGACCGGAGACGUGUCUCGGUCAUGUCUACAUUGUUGUCGAACCGUAGGGUCCGCACGCUUAAGGUUUCGAUGACAGUUAUAUUAUGAGUUUAUGAGUUUUGCUGUACCGAAGGCGUUCGGAGUCCCGGAUGAGAUCGGGGACAUGACGAGGAGUCUCGAAAUGGUCGAGACGUAAAGAUCCAUAUAUUGGACGACUAUAUUCGGACAUCGGAAAGGUUCCGAGUGAUUCGGGUAUUUUUCGGAGUACCUGAGAGUUACGGGAAUUCGCCGGGAGAAGUAUUGGGCCUUAUUGGGCCAUACGGGAAAGAGAGAGGGGCUGCCUAGGGCAGGCCGCGCGCCCCCCAAGGCCUAGUCCGAGUUGGACUAGGGGGAGGGGCUGCGCCCUUUCCUUGUUUCCUACUCCUACUACAUGGAAGGACUCCUAGUUGGACUAGGAAAGGGGGAAUCCUACUCCCGGUGGGAGUAGGACUCCCCUAGGGCACGCCAUAGAGAGGGCCGGCCCUCCCCUCCUCCACUCCUUUAUAUACGGGGGCAGGGGGCACCCCAUAGACACACAAGUUGAUCUUCGUGAUCGUUCCUUAGCCGUGUGCGGUGCCCCCCUCCACCAUAUUCCACCUCGGUCAUAUUGUAGCAGUGCUUAGGCAAAGCCCUGCGACGGUUGAACAUCAAGAUCGUCACCACGCCGUCGUGCUGACGGAACUUCUCCCCGAAGCUUUGCUGGAUCGAAGCCCAGGGAGCGUCAUCGAGCUGAACGUGUGCCAAGAACUCGGAGGUGCCGGAGUAACGGUGCUUGGAUCGGUUAGACCGGGAAGACGUACGACUACUUCCUCUAUGUUGCGUCAACGCUUCCGCUGUCGAUCUACGAGGGUACGUAGACAACACUCUCCCCUCUCGUUGCUAUGCAUUACCAUGAUCUUGCGUGUGUGUAGGAAUUUUUUUGAAAUUACUACGUUCCCCAACAUCUCCAACUACGCGGAAGAGCUCUGAGGGUGAGAAGCGGAUGUGUACGUGCUGAUUCCACCCAAGUAAUACCCCAGCGGACCCCCUCUUGAUAGUACGGUGCCCUCUACGCAACUAGUCCACCUAAAGAGCUACACCGUCUUGAAUGACACUCCGAGGGGAAGAAAUCGUCUCGUGCCAAGGCUGAAUCUCUGAAAUACUCAAAGCACACGAUUAGUCCGCAAACACGUUGUCAUCAAUCACCAAGACCAGAUCGAGAGAGAUAUGCCUCAACAGCAACAUAUGCCAAUCAUGGACUUGACUAAUUGUAAGUAGUAGGAUGGUGAGUCCACGACCCGUUGGGUACGCAGGGUCAAGGAGAUAAUACAUUCAUCUGAUAAGAUGGAUGCCAGCUCUGCGGUCUUAAUUUUGGAGAAAAAUUGCCGUUUUGAACCUCUGAAGCAGAAGCUUUGGCGGCUCAAGCGUGAUUGUCAUGACAUGGGCCAGUUGAUGGCGGCUCUGGUCAAAUAUGUUGAUUCAGAUAGUACCAAGGAUCCCGUGUUUGAUGAAGAGAAGGUAGGGAAGGGAAAAAAGAGCGGCAAUGGCAAGGGUCACCGGCAUAACCUAGCGAAUCAAGGAGGUAAUAAACGUAAGGCUGACGAGUUUGUGGCUAACGUCAGUACACAUGGCAACAACCAACGGCGCAAGAGGAGGCCACCUCCUCGGUCAGGCGGGUCAGGUCCCACCCUUGAGCAAUUACUGAAUGAACCCUGUCCGAGACACGACACCCGGCAGAAGCCAGCUACCCAUCUGUGGAAGGAUUGUACGAUCAUGAAGGUGUUUAAAAAUUCCAACAUGUUCGAUGGUAACCACUGACCUGGCGGCGGUUCAGGCGGUGGCAUCUUUCAUGGCCCGGGCGUCGGCUCAGGCGGAGGCGGUUUUCACGGCCAGGGCCAUCCGGGUAACCAAGGUGGUUAUAAUCAGCAAUCCGGCCAAAGUAAUCAGCAGCAACAGCAGUAGCAGUCCGGGUAUCAGAGUAAUCCAAAGCAGCUGAACAGUGGGCAGUCCCAUGUAUUUACCACUAGUUUGUACAAGAGGGACCAGAAACUUCAUAAGAGGGUUGUAAACGCUGUUGAGCCGGCGCAUGUUAUUUGAGAUGGUCAGAACAGCCUAUUGUGUGGAGUAGGGAGGAUCACUCUCUCCGGGUUGAUAAUCCGGGUCACUUGGCUUUGGUGGUGGCGCCUCAGGUUGGUGGAUAUAAGUUUACUAAGGUGCUCAUGGACGGAGGUGAUACGUCUCCAACGUAUCUAUAAUUUUUGAUUGCUCCAUGCUAUAUUAUCUACUGUUUUGGACUAUAUUGGGCUUUAUUUUCCACUUUUAUAUUAUUUUUGGGACUAACCUAUUAACCGGAGGCCCAGCCCAGAAAUGCCGUUUUUUUGCCGAUUUCAGUGUUUCGAAGAAACGGAAUAUCAAACGGAGUCCAAACGGAAUGAAACCUUCGGGAACGUGAUUUUCUCAUCGAACGUGAUCCAGGAGACUUAGACCCUAUGCCAAGGCGGUCAUGUGGGUGGGGGGGCCCUUAGGGCGCGCAACCUGCCUCGUGGGCCCCUCGGAGCUCCACCGACGUACUUCUUCCUCCUAUAUAUACCUACGUACUCCCAAACGAACAGAGACGGAGCCAAAAACCUAAUUCCACCGCCGCAACUUUCUGUAUCCACGAGAUCCCAUCUUGGGGCCUGUUCCGGAGCUCCGCCGGAGAGGGCCGUCAUCACGGAGGGCUUCUACAUCAUCAUAGCCCCUCCGAUGAAGUGUGAGUAGUUUACCUCAGACCUUCGGGUCCAUAGUUAGUAGCUAGAUGGCUUCUUCUCUCUUUUCGGAUCUCAAUAUAAAGUUCUCCCCCUCUCUUGUGGAGAUCUAUUCGACGUAAUCUUCUUCUUUUUGCGGUGUGUUUGUUGAGACCGAUGAAUUGUGGGUUUAUGAUCAAGUCUAUCUAUGAAUAAUAUUUGAAUCAUCUCUGAAUUCUUUUAUGUAUGAUUGGUUAUCUUUGCAAGUCUCUUCGAAUUAUCAGUUUGGUUUGGCCUACUAGAUUGGUUUUUCUUGCCAUGAGAGAAGUGCUUAGCUUUAGGUUUGAUCUUGCGGUGUCCUUUCCUAGUGACAGAAGGGGCAGCAAGGCACGUCCUGCAUCGUUGCCAUCGAGGAUAACAAGAUGGGGUUUAUUUCAUAUUGCAUGAAUUUAUCUCUCUACAUCAUGUCAUCUUUCUUAAAGCGUUACUAUGUUUUUAACUUAAUACUCUAGAUGCAUGCUGGAUAGCGGUCGAUGAGUGGAGUAAUAGUAGUAGAUGCAGAAUCGUUUUGGUCUACUUGUCACGGACGUGAUGCCUAUAUACAUGAUCAUGCCUAGAUAUUCUCAUAACUAUGCUCAAUUCUGUCAAUUGCUCAACAGUAAUUUGUUCACCCACCGUAGAAUACUUAUGUUCUUGAGAGAAGCCACUAGUGAAACCUAUGGCCCCCGGGUCUAUUCUCAUCAUAUCAAUCUCCAUCACUUUAAUCUUGCUUUGCUUUUUUACUUUGCCUUUUACUUUUCACCUUGCAUCUCUAUACCAAAAAUACCAAAUAUAUUAUAUCUAUCAGAUCUCACUCUCGUAAGUGACCGUGAAGGGAUUGACAACUCCUAAUCGCGUUGGUUACGAGUAGCUAUCGUUUUGUGCAGGUACGAGGGACUUGAGCGUGGCCUCCUACUGGAUUGAUACCUUGGUUCUCAAAAACUGAGGGAAAUACUUACGCUACUCUGCUGCAUCAUCCUUUUCUCUUCGGGGAAAUCCAACGCAAGCUCAAGAGGUAGCAAGAAGAAUUUCUGGCGCUGUUGCCGGGGAGGUUCGCGCAAGUCAAGUCAAGAUCUGACUCCCGACAACGAGCCAUUUCUGGCGCCGUUGCCGGGGAGUCUACGCAAAAAGUCAACAUACCAAGUACCCAUCACAAUCCCUAUCUCUCGCAUUACAUUAGUUGCCAUUUGCCUCUCAUUUUCCUCUCCCCCACUUCACCCUUGCCGUUUUAUUCACCCUCUCUCUCUCUCUAUCCUCCCUCUCUAUUUGCCUCUUUUUGCCCGCUUGCUUUUUGUUUGCUCGUAUGGUUGGAAUAGUCGUUUAUUUAUUUCUAAAUAGAGAACCUAAGAUCUAUGGAUCCUCAUCCGCUUGCUAAUCUUUUUAAGAGAUCCAGUUAUGUUGAACCAAUUGCUAGUGAGUUUUGUGCACUAGAUUAUCUUUAUGAGGUUUUGCUUGAAAUUUGUGAAUCUGAAAAGUGUGAUGAAGUACUUCAUGUAGUGAUUCACGAUAGAUCUUUGAAUAAAAAGCAUGAUUGCAAUGAUGAUAGUAUAAAUUCUAUUAAUAUAAAUUGUGCUAAUAAUAUGCAAAACCCUAAGCUUGGGGAUGCUAGUUUUGCUAUGUCCUCUACUUGUUGCAAUGAUCAUGAUUACGGUGAUUCUUCUUAUGAUCUUGAAAAUUUAUUUAAGCCCCAUGAUGAAUAUGAGAAUGAUUAUAAUGUUUGCAAUAAUAUUGCAAGUGGGUUUGGAAGAAUGUCAACUUUAGAUCCCACAUAUUUGGAGAAUGUUCAAUCUUAUGAAGUUUUUGAUAAAAGUGCGUUUGGAAAGGUCAUGACCUUAGUUAAUGUUAAUCCCACUAUUUUGGAAGAGUGUCAACUUUACAUGCAUGUGGAUCAUGUUGAAAGUAUUCUAUGUGAUAGCUAUUUUGUUGAAUUUGCUUAUGAUCCUACAUGUAAUUAUUACGAGAGAGGAAAAUAUGGUGGUAGAAAUUUUCAUGUUACUAAAUUACCUCUCGUAAUGUUGAGAUUGCUAUUGUUUCUUUCCGCUUCCUUGCAUAUGCUAGUUUUUGCUUGCCUUGAUAAUUUGUUUGCCUAUAAGAUGCCUAUGCAUAGUAAGUAUGUUAGACUUAGAUGUGUUUGUCACGUGUUUUAUGAUGCUCUCUUUGUGCUUCAAUUCUUGUCUUUCAUGUGAGCAUCAUUGAAAUAUUAUGCCUAGCUAUAAGGCUUUAAAGAAAAGCGCUUGUUGGGAGACAAACCAAUGUUUAUCCUUGAUGUUAUUUAAUUAAUAAAUUAUAUAGCCUCUGUUUUGGUUGUGUUUUUUGUGUUUAAGUAGUGUUUGUGCCAAGUAGAACCAUUGGGAAGACUUGGGGAAAGUCUUGUUGAACUUGCUGUAAAAAACAGAAACUUUAGCGCUCACGAGAACUGCUGUCAUUUAUAUUUGGAAAGUGCUAUUUAGUUAAUUAUUUUUGCAGAUGAUUAAUAGACAAAUUCCUCACGUCCAGCAAUUUAUUUUAGAAUUUUUGGUGUUCCAGAUCUUGCGCUAGCUACAGAUUACUACAGACUGUUCUGUUUUUGAUAGAUUCUGUUUUUUGUGUGUUGUUUGCUUAUUUUGAUGAAUCUAUGGCUAGUAAAAUAGUUUAUAAUCCAUAGAUAAGUUGGAAUACAGUAGGUUUAACACCAAUAUAAAUAAAGAAUGAAGUUCAUUACAGUACCUUGAAGUGGUCUUUUGUUUUCUUUCGCUAACGGAGCUCACGAGUUUUCUACCUUAAGUUUUGUGUUGUGAAGUUUUCAAGUUUUGGGUAAGGAUUUGAUGGAUUAUGGAACAAGGAGUGGCAAGAGCCUAAGCUUGGGGAUUCCCGUGGCACCCCCAAGAUAAUCUAAGGACACCUAAAAUCCAAAGCUUGGGGAUGCCCCGGAAGGCAUCCCCUCUUUCGUCUACUUCUAUCUGUAACUUUACUUGGAGCUAUAUUUUUAUUCACCACAUGAUAUGUGUUUUGCUUGGAGCGUCUUGUAUUAUUUGUGUCUUUGUUUGUUAGUGUGCCACAAUCAUCCUUGCUGUACACACCUUUUGAGAGAGCCAUACAUGAAUCGGAAUUUGAUAGAAUACUCUAUGUGCUUCACUUAUAUCUUUUGAGUGUUAUAAUUUUGCUCUAUGUGCUUCACUUAGAUCUUUUAGAGCACGGUGGUGGAUUUGUUUUAAAGAAACUAUUGAUCUCUCAUGAUUCACUUAGAUUAUUUUGAGAGUCUUAAUAGCAUGGUAAUUUGCUUAAUAAUAAUAUGCUUGGUAUUCAAGAUUUGUGAAACUUUCUUUUGAGUGCGUUGAAUACUAAGAAAAGAUUGAAGCAUGAUAAUUGUUUUGAGAUAUGGAGGCGAUAAUAUUAGAGUCAUGCUAGUUGAGUAAUUUUGAAUUUAAAGAAUACUUGUGUUAAAGUUUGCGAUUCCCGUAGCAUGCACAUAUGGUGAACCGUUAUGCGAUGAAGUCGGAGCAUGAUUUAUUUAUUGAUUGUCUUCCUUAUGAGUGGCGGUCGGGGACGAGCGAUGGUCUUUUCCUACCAAUAUAUCCCCCUAGGAGCAUGCGCGUAAUACUUUGCUUUGAUAACUUCUAGAUUUUUUCAAUAAGUAUAUGAGCUCGUCAUGACUAAUGUUGAGUCCAUGGAUUAUACGCACUUUUCCCAUCCUUCCACUAUUGCUAGCAUCUCUAAUACCGCGCACUUUUCGCCGGUAUCAUACACCCACCAUAUACCUCCCUCAAAACAGCCACCAUACCUACCUAUCAUGGCAUUUCCAUAGCCAUUCCGAGAUAUAUUGCCAUGCAACUUUCCACCGUUCCGUUUAUUAUGACACGCUCCAUCAUUGUCAUAUUGCUAGCAUGAUCAUGUAGUUGACAUCGUAUUUGUGGCAAAGCCACCGUUCAUAAUUCUUUCAUACAUGUCGCUCUUGAUUCAUUGCAUAUCCCGGUACACCGCCGGAGGCAUUCAUAUAGAAUCAUAUUUUGUUCUAAGUAUCGAGUUGUAAUUGUUGAGUUGUAAGAAAAAUAAAAGUAUGAUGAUCAUCAUUUUUAGAAAAUUAUCCCAAGUGAGGAAAGGAUGAUGGAGACUAUGAUUCCCCCAUAAGUCGGGACUAGACUCCGGACGAAAAAUAAAAAAAAUAAAAAAAGAGGCCAUAAAAAAGAGAAGGCCCAAAUAAAAAAAUGAGAGAAAAAGAGAGAAGGGACAAUGUUACUAUCCUUUUACCACACUUGUGCUUCAAAGUAGCACCAAGAUCUUCAUGAUAGAGAGUCUCUCGUUAUGUCACUUUCAUAUACUAGUGGGAAUUUUUCAUUAUAGAACUUGGCUUGUAUAUUCCAAUGAUGGGCUUCCUCAAAAUGCCCUAGGUCUUCGUGAGCAAGCGAGUUGGAUGCACACCCACUUAGUUUCUUUUGUUGAGCUUUCAUAUACUUAUAGCUCUAGUGCAUCCGUUGCAUGGCAAUCCCAACUCACUCACAUUGAUAUCUAUUGAUAGGCAUCUCCAUAGCCCGUUGAUACGCCUAGUUGAUGUGAGACUAUCUUCCCCUCUUUUUGUCUUCUCCACAGCCACCACUCUAUUCCAUAUAUAGUGUUAUAUCCAUGGCUCACGCUCAUGUAUUGCGUGAAGAUCGAAAAAGUUUUGAAAAUGUUAAAGUAUGAAGCAAUUGCUUGGCUUGUCAUCGGGGUUGUGCAUGAUUUAAAUACUUUGUGUGGUGAAGAUAGAGCAUAGCCAGACUAUAUGAUUUUGUAGGGAUAACUUUCUUUGGCCAUGUUAUUUUGAGAAGACAUAAUUGCUUUGUUAGUAUGCUUGAAGUAUUAUUUAUUUUAUGUCAACAUGAACUUUUUCCUUGAAUCUUUCGAAUCUGAAUAUUCAUACCACAAUUAAGAAGAUUUGCAUUGAAAUUAUGCCAAGUAGCACUCCACAUCAAAAAUUCUCUUUUUAUCAUUUACCUACUCGAGGACGAGCAGGAAUUCAGCUUGGGGAUGCCUGAUACGUCUCCAACGUAUCUAUAAUUUUUUAUUGCUCCAUGCUAUAUUAUCUACUGUUUUGGACUAUAUUGGGAUUUAUUUUCCACUUUUAUAUUAUUUUUGGGACUAACCUAUUAACCGGAGGCCCAGCCCAGAGUUGCUGUUUUUUUACCUAUUUCAGUGUUUCGAAGAAACGGAAUAUCAAACGGAGUCCAAACGGAAUGAAACCUUCGGGAACGUGAUUUUCUCACCGAACGUGAUCCAGGAGACUUGGACCCUAUGCCAAGGCAUCAGAGAGGCAGUCACGAGGGUGGGGGGCACCCCCCCCCCUUAAGGCGCGCCCCCUGCCUCGUGGGCCCCUCGGAGCUCCACCAACGUACUUCUUCCUCCUAUAUAUACCUACAUACCCCCAAACGAACAGAGACGGAGCCAAAACCUAAUUCCACCGCCGCAACUUUCUGUAUCCAUGAGAUCCCAUCUUGGGGCCUGUUCCGGAGCUCCGCCGAAGAGGGCCGUCAUCACGGAGGGCUUCUACAUCAUCAUAGCCCCUCCGAUGAAGUGUGAGUAGUUUACCUCAGACCCUCGGGUCCAUAGUUAGUAGCUAGAUGGCUUCUUCUCUCUUUUUGGAUCUCAAUACAAAGUUCUCCCCCUCUCUUGUGGAGAUCUAUUCGAUGUAAUCUUCUUCUUCUUGAGGUGUGUUUGUUGAGACCGAUGAAUUGUGGGUUUAUGAUCAAGUCUAUCUAUGAAUAAUAUUUGAAUCUUCUCUGAAUUAUUUUAUGUAUGAUUGGUUAUCUUUGCAAGUCUCUUCGAAUUAUCAGUUUGGUUUGGCCUACUAGAUUGGUUUUUCUUGCCAUGAGAGAAGUGCUUAGCUUUGGGUUCGAUCUUGCGGUGUCCUUUCCCAGUGACAGAAGGGGCAGCAAGGCAUGUAUUGCAUCAUUGCCAUCGAGGAUAACAAGAUGGGGUUUAUUUCAUAUUGCAUGAAUUUAUCUCUCUACAUCAUGUCAUCUUGCUUAAAGCGUUACUCUGUUUUUAACUUAAUACUCUAGAUGCAUGUUGGAUAGCGGUCGAUGAGUGGAGUAAUAGUAGUAGAUGCAGAAUCGUUUCGGUCUACUUGUCACGGACGUGAUGCCUAUAUACAUGAUCAUGCCUAGAUAUUCUCAUUACUAUGCUCAAUUCUGUCAAUUGCUCAACAGUAAUUUGUUCACCCACCGUUGAAUACUUAUGCUCUUGAGAGAAGCCACUAGUGAAACCUAUGGCCCCCGGGUCUAUUCUCAUCAUAUCAAUCUCCAUAACUUUAAUCUUGCUUUGCUUUUUUACUUUGCCUUUUACUUUUCACCUUGCAUCUCUAUACCAAAAAUACCAAAAAUAUUAUAUCUAUCAGAUCUCACUCUCGUAAGUGACCGUGAAGGGAUUGACAACCCCUAAUCGCGUUGGUUGCGAAUAGCUAUCGUUUUGUGCAGGUACGAGGGACUUGAGCGUGGCCUCCUACUGGAUUGAUACCUUGGUUCUCAAAAACUGAGGGAAAUACUUACGCUACUCUGUUGCAUCAUCCUUUCCUCUUCGGGGAAAUCCAACGCAAGCUCAAGAGGUAGAAGGAGGCAGUAGCAUCAACAUCCUCUAUUAUGAGACGUUUCGUCGCAUGGGGUUGACUGACAAGAGUCUUAAAUAAUCCAACACUGUUUUUCAUGGUGUGGUACCUGGUAAGUCGGUAUACCCAGUUGGUAAGAUUGAGCUGGAAGUAGCCUUUGGGGAUGAAUACGAUUCUAGGGCUGAGAAGUUAACUUUUGAAGUGGUUAAAAUCAAAAGCCUAUAUCAUGUCCUGUUUGGACGGCCGGCUUAUGCCAAGUUUAUGGCUCGGCCGUGUUAUGUAUAUCUGCGGCUCAAGAUGUCGGGUUAUAAAGGCACCAUCACAGUACAUGGAAGCCAGAAAAUAGCCCUGGAAUGUGAAGAAGGUGACGCUGCUUAUGCUGAGUCUGUUUGUGCAACAGAGGAAUUAAAGUUUUAUAAAGAUAAUGUUGAUCCGCCAAACAUGGCGUCUUUGAAGAAGCCAACUAUGGAGCAUGAACCGGUGUUGAAAUUCAAAUCAGCUGAUGACACCAAGAUGAUUGAUUUUGUGCCUAGCGACUCAUCUAAACAGUUCAUUAUCAGUGCUAACUCGGAUCCAAAAUAGGAAAGCGCGCUCGUCGAGUUCAUCCGUGAGAACCGAGACAUCUUUGCAUGGAAGCCUUUUGACAUGUCGGGUGUCCCGAGAGAACACGCUGAGCACACUCUCAAUAUUGAUCCGAAAUUUAAGCCAGUCAGACAGUUUCUUCGAUGGUUUAACGAGGAAAGGCGCAAGGCUAUUGGAGAAGAGGUAGCCCGGCUCUUGGCGGCCGGGUUCAUUGUUGAAGUUUUUCACCCGGAGUGGUUGGCUAACCCGGUGCUUGUACUAAAAAAGAACAACACCUGGCAUAUGUGUGUAGAUUACACUGACUUAAACAAGGCUUGUCCGGCUGACCCUUUUGCUCUCCCUCGUAUUGAUCAAAUCAUUGAUGCUACGGCGGGUUGCGAGCGUUUGAGUUUUUUGGAUGCCUAUUAGGGUUAUCAUCAGAUCAAGAUGGCAGUUAAGGACCGGGAGAAGAUAGCUUUCAUCACUCCGUUUGGAGCCUUCUGCUAUGUGUCUAUGCCUUUUGGGCUUAAGAGUGCCCAGGCGACUUAUCAACGAUGUGUGCAGAAUUGCCUUCACAAUCAGAUUGGGCGUAAUGUUCAUGCUUAUGUGGAUGAUAUAGUGGUGAAAUCCAGAGAGAAGGAAACCUUGGUAAUUGAUCUGAAGGAGACCUUUGAUAACCUCCGGGUCUACAAAAUGAUGCUUAACACAGACAAGUGUGUUUUUGGAGUCCCAGCUGGCAAACUCUUGGGUUUUUGGUGUCUAACAGAGGUAUUGAGGCUAACCCGGAGAAAAUUAAGGAAAUUACAUCUCUGGCUAAACCGGCGUGUAUCAAUGACGUUCAGCGGUUGGCGGGUUGCGUCGCAGCCUGAAGCCGGUUAGGGGGGAAGGCGUUGCCUUUGUAUCAAAUGAUGAAGAAGGCGGAUGACUUUGUCUGGAGUGACGCUGCUAACUCUGCUUUUGAGGAUCUGAAGAAACAACUCGUUGAGCUGCCAGUUCUUGCUGCUCCGGUUGAGAAAGAGUCGUUGUUGUUGUAUGUGGCUGCUAACUCAUGUGCUGUCUGUGUGGCUAUUGUUGUGGAGCGCAAAGAGGUUGGCAAGGAACAUCCGGUCCAACGGUCGGUUUACUACGUCAGUGAGGUGCUCAUUGAAUCUAAAAAAAGAUAUCCACAUUGGCAGAAGCUUGUUUAUGGGGUGUUCAUGUCGAGCCGGAUGCUCAAGCAUUACUUUCAGGGUCACCCAAUCACUAUGGUUAGCUCUGCUCCUCUAGGAGACAUUAUUCAAAAUAGAGAAGCCACAGGACGAGUCGCCAAGUGGGCCAUUGAACUCGGGUCUCAUGGUUUAAAAUAUGUGCCACGUACUACGAUCAAAUCUCAAGCACUGGUCGAUUUCAUUAACGAUUGGACAAAGUCACAGACACCUAAAGAAAAGCCAGACAACACAUAUUGGAUGGUUCAUUUUGAUGGGUCCAGACAGUUGGAAGGCUCAGGGGCUAGAGUUGUUUUAACUUCUCCUCGAGGUGACAAGUUUUGUUAUGUGUUGCGGUUGAUGUUUCCUUGUACUAACAACGCAGUAGAAUAUGAAACCUUGCUCCAUGGUCUUCGAAUGGCUAAAGAGAUGAGUCUGAGCCGGGUAUGGUGCCUUGGCGACUUAGAUUUGGUGGCUCAGCAGGUGUCAGGCAAGUGGGAUUCCAAGGAUCCUCUCAUGGCGGCUUAUCGCCGCGAGGUCGACGCUGUUGCAGGGCAUUUUAAGGGUUAUCAAGUGGAACACAUUGACCACGGAAAGAACGAAGCGGUUGAUGCCUUAAGCCGGUUGGGACCUCAGCGUAAGCCGGUGCCACCUAACACCUUUUUAGAUGUUUUACAUAACCUGUCUGUUAAGUUGCCUACAGAGGAAGAUUUGGCCGUUCCUGACCUGUAGGCACAGUUGUUGGCAGCGCUUCAUGUCAUUCCAGAUUGGACAGUAUCGUUCUUGGCUUACAUGACCCGGGGCGAGUUGCCAGAGGACGAUACCCUGGCCCGACAGAUAACCCGGCGGUCCAAGUCAAUGACAAUUUCUGACGGUGAGUUGUAUCAUCGCAGCAUCACUGGAGCAUUUCAACGUUGUGUUUCUCCUGAAGAAAGUCAUGAAAUUCUUCAUGAGAUCCAUGAAGGGGAUUGUGGUCAUCACGCCGGUUCAAAGUCUCUUGUGGCCAAAGCUUUUCGUCAUGGUUUUUACUGGCUAACGGCUCACGCUGACGCGGAGGAGCUGGUCAGUAGGUGUGAUGGAUGUCAAAAAUUUGCACGACGAGCGCACGUGCCGGCUCAAGAGUUGCGGAUGAUUCCAAUCACUUGGCCGUUUGCAGACUGGGGGCUUGACAUGGUUGCACCUUUCAAAAGGCCCAAAGAUAAAAAGACACAUCUUUUAGUGGUAGUUGACAAAUUCACAAAAUGGGUUGAGGCAGAGCCAGUGAGCAAGUGUGAUGCAGCCAUGGCAGUUCAGUUCAUGAAAAAGGUGAUUUUUUGCUUUGGUUUUCCACACAACAUUAUAACUGACAAUGGCACUAAUCUGUCCAAAGGUACUAUGGAGGAGUUUUGUCAACGUGAGCAUAUCCGGCUUGAUGUUUCAUCAGUAGCUCACCCCCAAUCCAAUGGUCAAGCUGAGAGAGCAAAUCAGGAAAUCUUAAAAGGUCUCAAGCCCCGGCUUAUGGUUCCCUUACAACGGACGCCGGGUUGUUGGGUAGAGGAAUUACCCUCGGUGCUGUGGAGUAUCAAAACCACUCCUAACAGGUCUACAUGUUAUACACCUUUCUUCAUGGUUUAUGGAGCAGAAGCAAUGCUGCCUAGUGACAUCUGUCAUGACUCGUCUCGCGUGACGGCUUACGUUGAAGCUGAUAAUGAACAAGCCCGACAGGAUGCACUUGACUUAUUAGAUGAGGAGAGAGAUUUGGCGGUGGCUCAAUUAGCAAUUUAUCAACAGGACAUGCGUCGUUAUCACAUCCGUCUGGUUAAGUCCAGGACCUUUCAAGAAGGUGACCUGGUGCUCCGGCUCAUCCAGGAUCUGUCUGAUGCACACAAACUAUCCCCGCCUUGGGAAGGACCCUUUGUGGUCAGCAAGAACUUAAACAAUGGGUCAUAUUACCUCAUUGACUAUAGCCAUACCAAGAAAACUCCUCAACUGAGUGAUAAUCUUAGGUGCUGGCCAUUCUUUGAUGGCAACUAUUUUGUGGGGGUCUGUAGAUAGACCCGUUCGAGAGCACAAAGACUCAUGUAAGUCGGAGGAGGAGACCCGCCGGCCGUGGAAUAUUGCCCAGCUUCGGCCAUACUACACCUGAGCCACCGGCUCUCGCCAUGUACAUACUUUGACGUUGUAUAUAUUAUGAUAAGUCAUAAAGCAGGACCUCUGUCAUUUUCCUCUUCAAUGAUCAUAUAUCUUUAUUAUUUUCAUUAUUUAAAAUGACCAAAAGGGGCUGAUCGUAUCCAAAUCUAGCUUAACCCUUUUGGUCCGGCUCAUGAUCGUAUUCGAAUCUAGCUGUAAACCUCAUGGUCACUUGGGGGCUUCCUGUUCAAACAUAGGCCGUAUUCGAACCAAAGAGAACAUAGCUGUCGUAACCCUCUUGAUCGGCUCAAAGCCAAACUCACUAGGGGGCCUCUUGAUCGUAUCUGAAUCAUAGCUUAACCCCUUUUGGGUCCAACUUGGAUCGUAUUCGAAUCAGGGUCGUUAAAAACCUCUCAAGGUCAUUUGGGGAAUUCCUGUUCAAACAUAGGUCGCAUUCAAACCAAAGAGAACAUAGCUGUCGGUACCCUCUUGAUUGGCGCAACGCCAAAGCCACUGGGGGAUAUAUGAUCGUAUUCGAAUCUUAGCUUAACCCGUUUGGUCUGGUUUACUGAUCGUAUUCGAAUCAGAAGCCUCCAGUUUUUAUUUAAAUGUUUUGAUUUACAUUGUCUAAAGCCUAGUGUUUUUGUCUUGCUAUUUUUUAUCAUAUCAAAUCUAACUGUCAGUAUGGUUUCAUAUUAAACCGGCUCGGUUAUUUGACAAUGAGUUGCCAAAGCAUAACAGCCGUCAGACAUAUGGAAGUAUUGACUUCUACAAAAGAUUGGGUUAUCAACCUCAUCAUCCGGGUCAUGUAAACCGGCAGUUCAGAUUCAAAGAAGACAGGUAUGACAGUGUCAUUCGUGAACAGGUUUCUCUGUGUUUUUUUCAUUAAUCAAAGGUUUUUCCAGCCUUGUUUAUCUUACAUCUGGUCCUGUCUUUUUCACUAUGGUAAUUUCAUAAGUCAUAUACCGGGUGUUUUGACCCGUCCGGUGCUAAACCGCCAGGACAACUUUUUAAUUUUUUACAGGAACAGAGUUAAAACAUUGCAGAUAUAGUCACGGAUGUGCUGCAUAUAUAUAUUGACAUCAUUGGCAAAGAGUCAUAUGCAACAUUAUAUGCACGAUGGCAUAGGCAAAACAUGCAGUUUUCAAACUAAUCUAUUACAAGGCUUUGAAAGCCCAAAAGAUGGUUAUGACUCUCCCCUCGCCGGUUCACCUCCCUCUACUGGUUGGAAGCUGGGAUUGGACCAGUCAAAGCCGUUCAGAGCAAUGAAUUCUGCUUCAUCGUUAAUCAGGCCGACCGGGUCGACUUCCGGGGCAAAAGUGUGUUGGCGAACCGGCGGGAUAAGAUCUGUCUCCUUAUAAGAGGGAGUAGCCAUCUUCUUAUUCUCCAUAUCAAAACCCGGCUGAUAUUUGUCAAUGUCGGUCUCCUCUCCAAGAACGGUAGCUUGAGGACGAACUCCCCUCACACAGGCAAUAAAGUCAUCUUGCUCAAAUGGACUCCCGUCUUCCUUCACGGUAGGGUACCCCUUAGCCACGUCCACCGGGUCUAAAUCCAGCACCCAGGCUUUGGAGCGGCUCAGGGAAGUCAGGGCUUCGGCUCUGGCACAGGAUUGUUUGACCUCUUGAAACCUGGCGGGUAAGAUCGAUAACUUCUUCGAGACAUCACUCAAACGGUUGGGUCCUUGGUUGGCAGGGGAGAUAGUAGCAAGUGCUCAUUGAGCGCCAGUAUACAAUUGCUCCACCAAGGUAUAAACUGCCUUCAGUUUUGUCACACUGUCUUGGCUCAAAAUUUUACUUCGUGGACCUGCGAGUGUUUUUUUAACAAAGGCUCAGCAGGCGGCUUAUAUUCCUGGUCAAAAUAAAGUAUAAGUGAUUAAUACAAAUGACUUACCGAAGAUGGCAGAGACCAUUUGAGACACACGGUUUUUUAAGAUGGUGAGCUCCGUGGUAACCUCCUCAAGAGCCGCCUCUGCUGUCUCGGCACGUUGUAUUAGCAAGGUCUUCUCAUCGGCCCAGGAUUUCUCCUUUUCAGUCAAACUGGUCUUCAAUUUUUCAGUCUCGGAGAGACUCAAUUGAAGUUUGGAAUUAGCAGUCUUUAUCUCUGCUUCCUGAUCCGCCAGCCGGGUCUUUGCAUCCGUCAAUUGAGAGCCCAAUUCAGUUAGGGCGGUCUACAAGCAGGCAUAGGUGUGUCAAGAUUUCACUAAAGGUUAUAAUGAUUGAAGUCCCAAGUGCUUUGCAAACGCAAUACCACUUGGCACUUGGGGGAUAAUGUCUGCCAAAGCAAUUUUUAUGCAAACUGACUCUUCUAUGCUUCAAGUCCCAAGUGUUUUACAAAGUAACAACGCUUGGCACUUGGGGGCUAAUGCAUGACAUUUAGAAAGUUUUCAAAUUGAGCCGGAUCAUACUACUUAUUUGGACUGAUUUAAGACAGUUAUGAAGUUAAGUACCGACUCAUAUAUGAUAAAUUGAGUCGGCCCUUGGGGACUACAGGUGAAAGUUUAUACUAAUCUGUUGGACUUAUUAAAAAUCUAAAGACAAGGUAUCAACCUAUAUCAUAAGUCUACAGAUCAUUCAGGUUCAUCAUAAUCUGAAGACUUGGGGGCUAGCAGAGUAUAUAUAAACCGGAGUACAUACCUCAUAUUUCAGUUGCAAUUAUUUGACCAUCUCAAUUUCCGAGUCACGGCUGGAAUGCACAUGAUUGAGAUAGCCGGACAACACGUCACUAACAUUCAGGUGAGCGUAGUGAGAAGUAUCAAACUGUACGUUGUGCCUUUCCAAGGCCUCCUAUUUGGCAGAAUGCCUGGCCAUCACAGUUGGAUUACCCGGCGCAACAAAUCUGCUGCCAAUGAUCAGAACAUCAUGGUCAGAAGACGCUGGCGGGUUAGCUGAACCGGAUGAUCUGACAGUGGAUGGAUCGACAAUGGUUUCAUCGGCUGACGGCUCAGGAGGGUCCAAUUGAGUAUGAACAGCCGGAUCCUUCUGGUGCUUCAGUCUGAGAGGGAGAAGUUGGCAUGGCCGGCUCAGGUGCAGGAACUUCCGGCUUUUCUGUCGGCUUAAUCACCUUGGCCUUCUUGGAUUUGGCUUGACCACUAAGAAAGAUUUUAUGAGACAGCUAGUAUAAUAAUGCAGUUUUUAAAAGAUGCAGAAGAAAGAUGAGUAUCCUUACCCAGGGGCAGUCUUGAAACCCGGAAAUUGAGUUUGCGACGAGUCGCCAGAAGAGCAAGAAACCUCUUGCAAAGGUAAAAUAAAGUUAGUGAUGCAAGGGAAUAGAUCCAUUAAUGAAAGCAAGAGACAAAGAUGAAAGAAACCUCAUUCUGGCGUUUUCGAGGAGUUUGUUGUAAAUCGGAAGGCAAUUCAUCAUCGUCAUUAGUCUGGGCCUGGCGGCGGCUCUCAUGCUGCUGCUUUUUCAAAAGAAAAUGAGGGUCCAGAUAAGCCAAAGGGUGCGAAAACCUUACUUUCCGGGUUACUAGUCAAAGUUUCUGUCUUGGCAAAGGGGCUGAGUCGGAGGAAAUAGUUCCCUCUUCUUCCACGGCCUGGCUGGCCCCCGUGUCGUCCUGGCAAUAGUCAGUGUCAAUAAGGUAGUUAAAAAACUGGCCAAGGGAGUCAAGGGCUACCUCCGACUCAGAAGCAUCAUCCAGGUGGAAUAAGUCAGAUACAGUAUUCUUCUUUUUGGGCUUCCGGGUCGUUCUCCUGGCGGCUAUGGCAGCGGCUCUAGCCUUCUUGGCAGCUUCAUGAUCAUACUUGGCCUUCUAGAAGUCAGAUUUGGCCUGUAAACAAAUAAACAAGUUAAAAGGUCAUGCAAGUAUUUAAACUACUGAGGAAAACACAAAAAGAGAAAGAGGUCAGGGGUUUUCACCUCUGGUGUCGGGUUAAGUUUGUAGAAGGGGUUUAACCCAACCUUAUUGCAGUCCUCGUAUUUGUCGUUCACAAGGAUGGUUGACAUUACAAUGUCUUCUUCAGUCAAUUGAACAGAGCUAUAACGCAGAGAGUCAUUUGGGCGUCUGCCAUAUGUUGGGGAACAUAGUAAUUUAAAAAAUUUCCUACGCACACGCAAGAUCAUGGUGAUGCAUAGCAACGAGAGGGGAGAGUGUGAUCUACGUACCCUUGUAGAUCGACAACGGAAGCGUUAGGUUGAUGUAGUCGUACGUCUUCACGGCCCGACCGAUCAAGCACCGAAAUUACGGCACCUCCGAGUUCUAGCACACGUUCAGCUCGAUGAUGAUCCCCGGACUCCGAUCCAGCAAAGUGUCGGGGAAGAGUUCCGUCAGCACAACAGUGUGGUGACGAUCUUGAUGUACUACUGUCGCAGGGCUUCGCCUAAGCACCGCUACAAUAUUAUCGAGGACUAUGGUGGAAGGGGGCACCGCACACGGCUAAGAAUAUGAUCACGUGGAUCAACUUGUGUCUCUAGGGGGUGCCCCUGCCUCCGUAUAUAAAGGUUCAAAAGGGGGGGUGCGGCCGGCCUAGAGGUGGCGCGCCACGAGGGGUCCUACUCCUUCCGGGAGUAGGAUUCCCCCCCUUUCCUAGUUGGAAUAGGAUUUGCAAAGGGGGGGAAAAGAGGAAGGGGGGCCGGCCCCCUCUCCUUGUCCUAUUCGGACCAAGGGAGGGGAGGGGCGCGUGGCCCAUCUCUGCUUGCCUCUUCUCUUUUCCACUAAGGCCCACUAAGGCCCAUAUAUCUCCCGGGGGGUUCCGAUAACCUCCCGAUACUCCAGUAAAAUCCCGAUUUCACCCGGAACACUUCCGAUAUCCAAAUAGGCUUCCAAUAUAUCAAUCUUUAUGUCUCGACCAUUUCGAGACUCCUCGUCAUGUCCGUGAUCACAUCCGGGACUCCGAACAACCUUCGGUACAUCAAAACAUAUAAACUCAUAAUAUAACUGUCAUUGAAACCUUAAGCGUGCGGACCCUACGGGUUCGAGAACAAUGUAGACAUGACCGAGACACGUCUCCGGUCAAUAACCAAUAGCGGGACCUAGAUGCCCAUAUUGGUUCCUACAUAUUCUACGAAGAUCUUUUAUCGGUCAGACCGCAUAACAACAUACGUUGUUCCCUUUGUCAUCGGUAUGUUACUUGCCCGAGAUUCGAUCGUCGGUAUCCAAUACCUAGUUCGAUCUCGUGACCGGCAAGUCUCUUUACUCGUUCUGUAAUACAUCAUCCCGCAACUAACUCAUUAGUUGCAAUGCUUGCAAGGCUUAAGUGAUGUGUAUUACCGAGAGGGCCCAGAGACACCUCUCCGACGAUCGGAGUGACAAAUCCUAAUCUCGAAAUACGUCAACCCAACAUGUACCUUUGGAGACACCUGUAGAGCACCUUUAUAAUCACCCAGUUACGUUGUGACGUUUGGUAGCACACAAAGUGUUCCUCCGGUACACGGGAGUUACAUAAUCUCAUAGUCAUAGGAACGUGUAUAAGUCAUGAAGAAAGCAAUAGCAACAUACUAAACGACCGGGUGCUAAGCUAAUGGAAUGGGUCAUGUCAAUCAGAUCAUUCAACUAAUGAUGUGAUCCCGUUAAUCAAAUAACAACUCUUUGUCCAUGGUUAGGAAACAUAACCAUCUUUGAUUAACGAGCUAGUCAAGUAGAGGCAUACUAGUGACACUCUGUUUGUCUAUGUAUUCACACAUGUAUUAUGUUUCCGGUUAAUACAAUUCUAGCAUGAAUAAUAAACUUAUAUCAUGAUAUAAGGAAAUAAAUAAUAACUUUAUUAUUGCCUCUAGGGCAUAUUUCCUUCAGUCUCCCACUUGCACUAGAGUCAAUAAGCUAGAUUACACAGUAAUGAUUCUAACACCCAUGGAGCCUUGGUGCUGAUCAUGUUUUGCUCGUGGAAGAGGCUUAGUCAACGGGUCUGCUAUAUUCAGAUCCGUAUGUAUCUUGCAAAUCUCUAUGUCUCCCACCUGGACUAGAUCCCGGAUGGAAUUGAAGCGUCUCUUGAUGUGCUUGGUUCUCUUGUGAAAUCUGGAUUCCUUUGCCAAGGCAAUUGCACCAGUAUUGUCACAAAAGAUUUUCAUUGGACCCGAUGCACUAGGUAUGACACCUAGAUCGGAUAUGAACUCCUUCAUCCAGACUCCUUCGUUUGCUGCUUCCGAAGCAACUAUGUACUCCGCUUCACAUGUAGAUCCCGCCACGACGCUUUGUUUAGAACUGCACCAACUAACAGCUCCACCGUUUAAUGUAAACACGUAUCCGGUUUGCGAUUUAGAAUCGUCCGGAUCAGUGUCAAAGCUUGCAUCAACGUAACUGUUUACGAUGAGAUCUUUGUCACCUCCAUAUACGAGAAACAUAUCCUUAGUCCUUUCAGGUAUUUCAGGAUGUUCUUGACCGCUGUCCAGUGAUCCACUCCUGGAUUACUUUGGUACCUCCCUGCUAAACUUAUAGCAAGGCACACAUCAGGUCUGGUACACAGCAUUGCAUACAUGAUAGAGCCUAUGGCUAAAGCAUAAGGAACAUCUUUCAUUUUCUCUCUAUCUUCUGCAGUGGUCGGGCAUUGAGUCUGACUCAACUUCACACCUUGUAACACAGGCAAGAAUCCUUUCUUUGCUUGAUCCAUUUUGAACUUCUUCAAAAUCUUGUCAAGGUAUGUGCUUUGUGAAAGUCCAAUUAAGCGUCUUGAUCUAUCUCUAUAGAUCUUUAUGCCUAAUAUGUAAGCAGCUUCACCGAGGUCUUUCAUUGAAAAACUCUUAUUCAAGUAUCCCUUUAUGCUAUCCAGAAAUUCUAUAUCAUUUCCAAUCAGUAAUAUGUCAUCCACAUACAAUAUCAGAAAUGCUACAGAGCUCCCACUCACUUUCUUGUAAAUACAGGCUUCUCCAAAAGUCUGUAUAAAACCAAAUGCUUUGAUCACACUAUCAAAGCAUUUAUUACAACUCCGAGAGGCUUGCACCAGUCCAUAAAUGGAUCGCUGGAGCUUGCACACUUUGUUAGCUCCCUUUGGAUCGACAAAACCUUCCGGUUGCAUCAUAUACAACUCUUCUUCCAGAAAUCCAUUCAGGAAUGCAGUUUUGACAUCCAUCUGCCAAAUUUCAUAAUCAUAAAAUGCGACAAUUGCUAACAUGAUUCGGACAGACUUAAGCAUCGUUACGGGUGAGAAGGUCUCAUCGUAGUCAACCCCUUGAACUUGUCGAAAACCUUUUGCGAAAAGUCGAGCUUUGUAGACAGUAAUAUUACCGUCAGCGUCAGUCUUCUUCUUGAAGAUCCAUUUAUUCUCAAUUGCUUGCCGAUCAACGGGCAAGUCAACCAAAGUCCAUACUUUGUUCUCAUACAUGGAUGCCAUCUCAGAUUUCAUGGCUUCAAGCCAUCUUGCGGAAUCUGGGCUCACCAUCGCUUCUUCAUAGUUCGUAGGUUCAUCAUGAUCUAGUAGCAUGAUUUCCAGAACAGGAUUACCGUACCACUCUGGCGCGGAUCUUACUCUAGUUGAUCUACGAGGUUCAGUAGUAUCUUGUUCUGAAGUUUCAUGAUCAUUAUCAUUAGCUUCCUCACUAAUUGGUGUAGGUGUCGCAGAAACAGGUUUCUGUGAUGUACUACUUUCCAAUAAGGGAGCAGGUAUAGUUACCUCGUCAAGUUCUACUUUCCUCCCACUCACUUCUUUCGAGAGAAACUCCUUCUCUAGAAAGGAUCCAUUCUUAGCAACGAAUGUGUUGCCUUGGGAUCUGUGAUAGAAGGUGUACCCAACAGUCUCCUUUUGGUAUCCUAUGACGACACAUUUCUCCGAUUUGGAUUCGAGCUUAUCAGGUUGAAGCUUUUUCACAUAAGCAUCGCAGCCCCAAACUUUAAGAAACGACAACUUUGGUUUCUUGCCAAACCAUAGUUCAUAAGGCAUCGUCUCAACGGAGUUUGAUGGUGCCCUAUUUAACGUGAAUGCGGCCGUCUCUAAAGCAUAACCCCAAAAUGAUAGCGGUAAAUCAGUAAGAGACAUCAUAGAUCGCACCAUAUCUAGUAAAGUACGAUUACGACAUUCGAACACACCAUUACGUUGUGGUGUUCCGGGUGGCACGAGUUGCGAAACUAUUCCGCAUUGUUUCAAAUGUACACCAAACUCGUAACUCAAAUAUUCUCCUCCAUGAUCAGAUCGUAGAAACUUUAUUUUCUUGUUAUGAUGAUUUUCAACUUCACUCUGAAAUUCUUUGAACUUUUCAAAUGUUUCAGACUUAUGUUUCAUUAAGUAGAUAUACCCAUAUCUGCUUAAGUCAUCUGUGAAGGUGAGAAAAUAAUGAUAUCUGCCACGAGCCUCAAUAUUCAUCGGACCACAUACAUCGGUAUGUAUGAUUUCCAACAAAUCUGUUGCUCUCUCCAUAGUACCGGAGAACGGUGUUUUAUUCAUCUCGCCCAUGAGGCACGGUUCGCAAGUACCAAGUGAUUCAUAAUCAAGUGGUUCCAAAAGUCCAUCAAUAUGGAGUUUCUUCAUGUGCUUUAUACCGAUAUGACCUAAACGGCAGUGCCACAAAUAAGUUGCACUAUCAUUAUCAACUCUGCAUCUUUUGGUUUCAACAUUAUGAAUAUGUGUGUUACUACUAUCGAGAUUCAUCAAAAAUAGACCACUCUUCAAAGGUGCAUGACCAUAAAAGAUAUUACUCAUAUAAAUAGAACAACCAUUAUUCUCUGAUUUAAAUGAAUAACCGUCUCGCAUUAAACAAGAUCCAGAUAUAAUGUUCAUGCUCAACGCUGGCACCAAAUAACAAUUAUUUAGGUCUAAUACUAAUCCCGAAGGUAGAGGUAGAGGUAGCGUGCCGACAGCGAUCACAUCGACUUUGGAACCAUUUCCUACACGCGUCAUCACCUCGUCAUUUGCCAGUGUUCGCUUAAUCCGUAGUCCCUGUUUUGAGUUGCAAAUAUUAGCAACAGAACCAGUAUCAAAUACCCAGGUGCUACUGCGAGCUCUAGUAAGGUACACAUCAAUAACAUGUAUAUCACAUAUACCUUUGUUCACCUUGCCAUCCUUAUUAUCCGCCAAAUACUUGGGGCAGUUCCGCUUCUAGUGACCAGUCUGCCUGCAGUAGAAGCACUCAGUUUCAGGCUUAGGUCCAGACUUGGGUUUCUUCUCUUGAGCAGCAACUUGCUGAAGGAAAUAUGCCCUAGAGGCAAUAAUAAAGUUAUUAUUUAUUUCCUUAUAUCAUGAUAAAUGUUUAUUAUUCAUGAUAGAAUUGUAUUAACCGGAAACAUAAUACAUGUGUGAAUACAUAGACAAACAGAGUGUCACUAGUAUGCCUCUACUUGACUAGCUCGUUAAUCAAAGAUGGUUAUGUUUCCUAACCAUGGACAAAGAGUUGUUAUUUGAUUAACGGAAUGACAUCAUUAGUUGAAUGAUCUGAUUGACAUGACCCAUUCCAUUAUCUUAGCACCCGAUCGUUUAGUAUGUUGCUAUUGCUUUCUUCAUGACUUAUACAUGUUCCCAUGACUAUGAGAUUAUGCAACCCCCGUUUGCCGGAGGAACACUUUGUGUGCUACCAAACGUCACAACGUAACUGGGUGAUUAUAAAGGAGCUCUACAGGUGUCUCCAAAGGUACAUGUUGGGUUGGCGUAUUUCGAGAUUAGGAUUUGUCACUCCGAUUGUCGGAGAGGUAUCUUUGGGCCCUCUCGGUAAUGCACAUCACUUAAGCCUUGCAAGCAUUGCAACUAAUGAGUUAGUUGCGAGAUGAUGUAUUACAGAACGAGUAAAGAUACUUGCCGGUAACAAGAUUGAACUAGGUAUUGGAUACCGACGAUCGAAUCUCGGGUAAGUAACAUACCGAUGACAAAGGGAACAACGUAUGUUGUUAUGCGGUCUGACCGAUAAAAGAUCUUCGUAGAAUAUGUAGGAACCAAUAUGGGCAUCCAGGUGCCGCUAUUGGUUAUUGACCGGAGACGUGUCUCGGUCAUGUCUACAUUGUUCUCGAACCCGUAGGGUCCGCACGCUUAAGGUUUCGAUGACAGUUAUAUUAUGAGUUUAUACGUUUUGAUGUACCGAAGGUUGUUCGGAGUCCCGGAUGAGAUCACGGACAUGAAGAGGAGUCUUGAAAUGGUCGAGACAUAAAGAUUGAUAUAUUGGAAGCCUAUGUUUGGAUAUCGGAAUUGUUCCGGGUGAAAUCGGGAUUUUACCGGAGUACCGGGAGGUUACCGGAACCCCCCGAGAGCUAUAUGGGCCUUAGUGGGCCAUAGUGGAAGAAGAGGAGAGGCGGCCAGGGCUGGGCCGCGCGCCCCUCCCCCCUAGUCCAAAUAGGACAAGGAGAGAGGGGGUCGGCGCCCCCCUCCUUCUCUCUCCCUCUUUUCCCACCUCGUGAAUCCUAUUCCAACUAGGAUUGGGGGGGAGUCCUACUCCCGGAGGGAGUAGGACUCCUCCUGGCGCGCCACCUCUAGGCCGGCCGCACCCCCCCCUUUGAACCUUUAUAUAUGGAGGCAGGGGCACCCCCUAGAGACACAAGUUGAUCCACGUGAUCAUAUUCUUAGCCGUGUGCGGUGCCCCCUUCCACCAUAGUCCUCGAUAAUAUUGUACCGGUGCUUAGGCGAAGCCCUACGACAGUAGUACAUCAAGAUCGUCACCACGCCGUCGUGCUGAUGGAACUCUUCUCCGACACUUUGCUGGAUCAGAGUCCGGGGAUCGUCAUCGAGCUGAACGUGUGCUAGAACUCGGAGGUGCCGUAGUUUCGGUGCUUGAUCGGUCGGGCCGUGGAGACGUACGACUACAUCAACCAAACGCUUCCGUUGUCGAUCUACAAGGGUACGUAGAUCACACUCUCCCCUCUCGUUGCUAUGCAUCACCAUGAUCUUGCGUGUGCGUAGGAAAUUUUUUGAAAUUACUACGUUCCCCAACAGUGGCAUCCGAGCCUAGGUUUUAUGUGUUGAUGUUAUAUGCACGAGUAGAACACAAGUGAGUUGUGGGCGAUAUAAGUCAUACUGCUUACCAGCAUGUCAUACUUUGGUUCGGCGGUAUUGUUGGACGAAGCGGCCCGGACCGACAUUACGCGUACGCUUACGCGAGACCGGUUCUCCCGACGUGCUUUGUACAUAGGUGGCUUGCGGGUGACAGUUUCUCCAACUUUAGUUGAACCGAGUGUGGCUACGCCCGGUCCUUGCGAAGGUUAAAACAGCACCAACUUGACAAACUAUCGUUGUGGUUUUGAUGCGUAGGUAAGAUUGGUUCUUGCUUAAGCCCGUAGCAGCCACGUAAAACUUGCAACAACAAAGUAGAGGACGUCUAACUUGUUUUUGCAGGGCAUGUUGUGAAGUGAUAUGGUCAAGACAUGAUGCUAAAUUUUAUGAGAUGAUCAUGUUUUGUAACCGAGUCAUCGGCAACUGGCAGGAGCCAUAUGGUUGUCGCUUUAUUGUAUGCAAUGCAAUUGCGCUGUAAUGCUUUACUUUAUCACUAAGUGGUAGCGAUAGUCGUGGAAGCAUGAGAUUGGCGAGACGACAACGAUGCUACGAUGGAGAUCAAGGUGUCGCGCCGGUGACGAUGGUGAUCAUGACGGUGCUUCGGAGAUGGAGAUCACAGGCACAAGAUGAUGAUGGCCAUAUCAUAUCACUUAUAUUGAUUGCAUGUGAUGUUUAUCUUUUAUACAUCUUAUCUUGCUUUGAUUGACGGUAGCAUUAUAAGAUGAUCUCUCACUAAAUUAUCAAGAUAAAAGUGUUCUCCCUAAGUAUGCACCGUUGCCAAAGUUCGUCAUGCCCAGACACCACGUGAUGAUCGGGUGUGAUAAGCUCUAUGUCCAUCUACAAUGGGUGCAAGCCAGUUUUGCACACGCAGAAUACUCAGGUUAAACUUGACGAGCCUAGCAUAUGCAGAUAUGGCCUCGGAACACUGAGACCGAAAGGUCGAGCGUGAAUCAUAUAGUAGAUAUGAUCAACAUAGUGAUGUUCACCAUUGAAAGCUACUCCAUUUCACGUGAUGAUCGGUUAUGGUUUAGUUGAUUUGGAUCACGUGAUCACUUAGAGGAUUAGAGGGAUGUCUAUCUAAGUGGGAGUUCUUAAAUAAUAUGAUUAAUUGAACUUAAAUUUAUCAUGAACUUAGUCCUGGUAGUAUUUUGCAAAUUAUGUUGUAGAUCAAUAGCUCGCGUUGUUGCUUCCCUGUGUUUAUUUUGAUAUGUUCCUGGAGAAAAUUGUGUUGAAAGAUGUUAGUAGCAAUGAUGCGGAUUGGAUCCGUGAUCUGAAGUUUAUCCUCAUUGCUGCACAGAAGAAUUAUGUCCUUGAUGCACCGCUAGGUGACAGACCUAUUGCAGGAGCAGAUGCAGACGUUAUGAACGUUUGGCUAGCUCAAUAUGAUGACUACUUGAUAGUUUAGUGCACCAUGCUUAAUGGCUUAGAAUCGGGACUUCAAAGACGUUUUGAACGUCAUGGACCAUAUGAGAUGUUCCAGGAAUUGAAGUUAAUAUUUCAAGCAAAUACCCGAGUUGAGAAAUAUGAAGUCUCAACAAGUUCUAUAGCUAAAAGAUGGAGGAGAAUCACUCAACUAGUGAGCAUGUGCUCAGAUUGUCUGGGUACUACAAUCGCUUGAAUCAAGUGGGAGUUAAUCUUCCAGAUAAGAUAGUGAUUGACAGAAUUCUCUAGUCACCAUCACCAAGUUAGUAGAACUUCGUGAUGAACUAUAAUAUGCAAGGGAUAACGGAAACAACUCCCAAGCUCUUCGUGAUGCUGAAAUCAACGAAGGUAGAAAUCAAGAAAAACAUCAAGUGUUGAUGGUUGACAAGACCACUAGUUUCAAGAAAAGGGCAAAGGGAAGAAGGGGAACUUCAAGAAGAACGGCAAGCAAGUUGCUGCUCAAGUGAAGAAGCCCAAGUCUGAUCCUAAGCCUGAGACUAAGUGCUUUUACUGCAAAGGGACUGGUCACUGGAAGUGGAACUCCCCCAAGUAUUUGGCGGAUAAGAAGGAUGGCAAAGUGAACAAAAGUAUAUUUGAGAUACAUGUUAUUCAUGUGUACUUUACUAGUGUUUAUAGCAACCCCUCAGUAUUUGAUACUGGAUCAAUUGCUAAGAGUAGUAACUUGAAACAGGAGUUGCAGAAUAAACAGAGACUAGUUAAGGGUGAAGUGACGAUGUGUGUUGGAAGUAGUUCCAAGAUUGAUAUGAUCAUCAUCGCACACUCCCUAUACUUUCGGGAUUAGUGUGGAACCUAAAUACGUGUUAUUUGGUGUUGAGCAUGAAUAUGAUUUGAUCAUGUUUAUUGCAAUACAGUUAUUCAUUUAAGUAAGAGAUUAAAUUGUUGUUCUGUUUACAUGAAUAAAACCUUAUAUGGUUACACACCCAAUGAAAAUAGUUCAUUGGAUCUCGAUCGUAGUGAUACACAUAAUCAUAAUAUUGAACCAAAAGAUGCAAAGUUAAUAAUGAUAGUGCAACUUAUUUUUGGCACUGCCGUUUAAGUCAUAUUGGUGUAAAGCGCAUGAAGAAACUCCAUACUGAUGGGCUUUUAGAAUCACUUGAGUAUGAAUCAGUUGAUGCUUGCGAACCAUGCCUCAUGGGCAAGAUGACUAAGACUCUGUUCUUCGGAACAAUGGAGCGAGCAACAGAUUUGUUGGAAAUCAUACAUACUGAUGUAUGUGGUCCGAUGAAUAUUGAGGCUCAUGGCAGGUAUCAUUAUUUUCUGAUCUUCACAGAUGAUUUGAGAAGAUAUGAGUAUAUCUACUUAAUGAAACACAAGUCUGAAACAGUUGAAAAAUUCAAAGAAUUUCAGAGUGAAGUGGAGAAUCAUCGUAACAAAAAUGAAAGUUUCUACGAUAUGAUCGCAGAAGUAAAAUAUUUGAGUUACGAGUUUGGUCUUCAAUUAAAACAAUGUGGAAUAGUUUCACAAACUCAUGCCACCUGGAACACCACAGCAUAAUGGUGUGUCCGAAUGUCAUAAGCGUACUUUAUUAGAUAUGGUGCGAUCUAUGAUGUCUCUUACUGAUCUACAACUAUCGUUUUGGGGUUAUGCAUUAGAGACAGUUGCAUUCACGUUAAAUAGGGCACCAUCUAAGUCCGUUGAGACGACACAAUCUGAACUGUGGUUUGGCGAGAAACCAAAGUUGUCGUUUCUUAAAGUUUGGGGUUGUGAUGCUUAUAUGAAAAAGUUUCAUCCUAAUAAGCUCAAACCCAAAUCGGAGAAAUAUGUCUUCAUAGGAUACCCAAAGGAGACUAUUGGGUACACCUUCUAUCACAAAUCCGAAGGCAAGACUUUUGUUGCUAAAUUCGGAGUUUUUCUAGAGGAGUUUCUCUCGAAAGAAGUGAGUGGGAGGAAAGUAGAACUUGAUGAGGUAACUGUACCUGCUCCCUUAUUGGAAAGUAGUUCAUCACAGAAAUCUGUUCCUGUGACUACUACACCAAUUAGUGAGGAAGCUAAUGAUGAUGAUCAUGUAACUUCAGAUCAAGUUACUACCAAAUCUCGUAGGUAAACCAGAGUGAGAUCCGCACCAGAGUGGUACGGUAAUCCUGUUCUGGAAGUCAUGUUACUAGACCAUGACGAACUUGCGAACUAUGAGGAAGCGAUGAUGAGCCCAGAUUCCGAUAAAUGGCUUGAGGCCAUGAAAUCUGAGAUAGGAUCCAUGUAUGAGAACAAAGUAUGGACUUUGGUGGACUUGCUCGAGGAUCGGCAAGCCAUUGAUAAUAAAUGGAUCUUCAAGACGAAGACGGACACGGAUAGUAGUGUUACUAUCUACAAAGCUAGAAUUGUCGCAAAAGGUUUUCGACAAGUUCAAGGUGUUGACUACGAUGAGAGUUUCUCACUCGUAUCUAUGCUUAAGUCUGUCCGAAUCAUGUUAGCAAUUGCCGCAUUUUAUGAAAUAUGGCAAAUGGAUAAACAAAACUGCAUUUCUUAAUGGAUUUAUUAAAGAAGAGUUGUAUGUGAUGCAACAAGAUCGUUUUGUCAAUCCUAAAGGUGCUAACAAAAUAUGCAAGCUCCAGCGAUCCAUUUAUGGACUGGUGCAAGCAUCUCGUAGUUGGAAUAUACGCUUUGAUAAGUUGAUCAAAGCCUAUAGUUUUAUACAGACUUGAAGCCUGUAUUUACAAGAAAGUGAGUGGGAGCACUACAACAUUUCUGAUAAGUAUAUGUGAAUGACAUAUUGUUGAUCGGAAAUAAUGUAGAAUUAUUCUGCAAAGCAUAAAGGAGUGUUUGAAAGGAGUUUUUCAAAGAAAGACCUCGGUGAAGCUGCUUACAUAUUGAGUAUCAAGAUCUAUAGAGAUAGAUCAAGACGCUUGAUAAGUUUUUUCAAUGAGUACAUACCUUGACAAGAUUUUGAAGUAGUUCAAAAUGGAACAGUCAAAGAAAAAGUUUCUUGCCUGUGUUACAAGGUGUGAAGUUGAGUAAGACUCAAAGCCCGACCACGGCAGAAGAUAGAAAGACAAUGAAAGUCAUUCCCUAUGCCUCAGUCAUAGGUUCUAUAAAGUAUGCCAUGCUGUGUACUAGAUCUAUUGUAUACCAUACACUGUGUUAAGAGAGGGAGUACAAUAGUGAUCUAGGAGUAGAUCAAUGGACAUCGGUCAAAAUUAUCCUUACUGGAAUAAGGAUAUGUUUCUCGAUUACGGAGGUGACAAAAGGUUCGUCGUAAAGGGUUACGUCGAUGCAAGUUUUGACACUGAUCCAGAUGACUCUAAGUCUCAAUCUGGAUACAUAUUGAAAGUGGGAGCAAUUAGCUAGAGUAGCUCCAUGCAGAGCAUUGUUGACAUAGAAAUUUGCAAAAUACAUGUGGAUCUGAAUGUGGCAAACCCGUUGACUAAACUUCUCUCACAAGCAAAACAUGAUCACUUUUUGGGUCUUAAUCACAUAGCGAUGUGAACUAGAUUAUUGAAUCUAGUAAACCCUUUGGGUGUUAGUCACAUGGAGAUGUGAACCAAUCACAUAAAGCUGUGAACUAUUGAUGUUAAAUCACAUGGCGAUGUGAUCUAAAUUAUUGACUCUAGUGCAAGUGGGAGACUGAAGGAAAUAUGCCCUAGAGGCAAUAAUAAAGUUAUUAUUUAUUUCCUUAUAUCAUGAUAAAUGUUUAUUAUUUCAUGCUAGAAUUGUAUUAACCGGAAACAUAAUACAUGUGUGAAUACAUAGACAAACAGAGUGUCACUAGUAUGCCUCUACUUGACUAGCUCGUUAAUCAAAGAUGGUUAUGUUUCCUAACCAUGGACAAAGAGUUGUUAUUUGAAUAACGGAAUCACAUCAUUAGUUGAAUGAUCUGAUUGACAUGACCCAUUCCAUUAGCUUAGCACCCGAUCGUUUAGUAUGUUGCUAUUGCUUUCUUCAUGACUUAUACAUGUUCCUAUGACUAUGAGAUUAUGCAACUCCCGUUUGCCGGAGGAACACUUUGUGUGCUACCAAACGUCACAACAUAACUGGGUGAUUAUAAAGGAGCUCUACAGGUGUCUCCAAAGGUACAUGUUGGGUUGGCGUAUUUCGAGAUUAGGAUUUGUCACUCCGAUUGUCGGAGAGGUAUCUUUGGGCCCUCUCGGUAAUGCACAUCACUUAAGCCUUGCAAGCAUUGCGACUAAUGAGUUAGUUGCGAGAUGAUGUAUUACAGAACGAGUAAAGAGACUUGCCGGUAACGAGAUUGAACUAGGUAUUGGAUACCGACGAUCGUAUCUCGGGUAAGUAACAUACCGAUGACAAAGGGAACAACGUAUGUUGUUAUGCGGUCUGACUGAUAAAAGAUCUUCAUAGAAUAUGUAGGAACCAAUAUGGGCAUCCAGGUCCCGCUAUUGGUUAUUGACCGGAGACGUGUCUCGGUCAUGUCUACAUUGUUCUCGAACCCGUAGGGUCCGCACGCUUAAAGUUUUGAUGACAGUUAUAUUAUGAGUUUAUACGUUUUGAUGUACCGAAGGUUGUUCGGAGUCCCGGAUAAGAUCACGGACAUGACGAGGAGUCUCGAAAUGGUCGAGACAUAAAGAUUGAUAUAUUGGAAGCCUAUGUUUGGAUAUCGGAAUUGUUCCGGGUGAAAUCGGGAUUUUACCGGAGUACCGGGAGGUUACCGGAACCCCCCGGGAGCUAUAUGAGCCUUAGUGGGCCAUAGUGGAAGAUGAGGAGAGGCGGCCAGGGCUGGGCCGCGCGCCCCUCCCCCUAGUCCAAAUAGGACAAGGAGAGAGGGGGCCGGCGCCCCCCCCCCCCCUCCUUCUCUCUCCCUCUUUUCCCACCUCGCGAAUCCUAUUCCAACUAGGAUUNNNNNNNNNNNNNNNNNNNNNNNNNNNNNNNNNNNNNNNNNNNNNNNNNNNNNNNNNNNNNNNNNNNNNNNNNNNNNNNNNNNNNNNNNNNNNNNNNNNNNNNNNNNNNNNNNNNNNNNNNNNNNNNNNNNNNNNNNNNNNNNNNNNNNNNNNNNNNNNNNNACAAGUUGAUCCACGUGAUCAUAUUCUUAGCCGCGUGCGGUGCCCCCUUCCACCAUUGUCCUCGAUAAUAUUGUAGCGGUGCUUAGGCGAAGCCCUGUGACAGUAGUACAUCAAGAUCGUCACCAUGCCGUCGUGCUGACGAAAAUCUUCCCCGACACUUUGCUGGUUCGGAGUCCGGGGAUCGUCAUCGAGCUGAACGUGUGCUAGAACUCGGAGGUGCCGUAGUUUCGGUGCUUGAUCGGUCGGGCCAUGGAGACGUACGACUACAUCAACCAAACGCUUCCGUUGUCGAUCUACAAGGGUACGUAGAUCACACUCUCCCCUCUCGUUGCUACAAGGGUACGUUGAAAUGGUUUUCAAUUUCCAUUUGUGUCGUUUCAGUGAAACAAAAUGAAAUUGAAACUAUUUUCAUUUAUGUGUUGUUUCAGUGCAUUAUUAUCUUCCAUGAUUUGUUUUUCACUGUUACAUUUUGUUGCAUAUAUGGAGGCCAUCUACCAUUCUGCUGAUAUUUGCUAUUAUAUCAUCUUUUUUGUGAACUUAAAAAGGUCCCUCAAAGAGAUGUGUUUUUCAUAUGGUCCUGAAUCUGGUGUGCGGUAUGAUGGAGUUUACAGAAUUGAGAACUGUUGGAGGAAGAUUGGUGUUCAGGUAAUUUUACUUCCUGUACAGAGGUUCCACAUGCUGCUCUCUACUUUGUGCCACUGAAUCGAAGAUCAAUGUAUAUUUGUUUGAUUUCUUUAUCAGGAUAUACGUACACGGUCUUAAUGUUAAACUGAAGUAUCUUUUAUUGCUUACUAAACCCUCCUAACUCAAUUGACUUGAUGUUAAACUGAAGUACUAAUCAAGCUUGUUUGCUUUUUUGUACGUGUAUGCCUACUUACCUUGCUAUAUAUGGUGUUCGAUGGCCAGCCAUAGAAGGUUCUGAUUUUUAAUUUUGUCAAGUUGAGUUCAUAUUUUAAUUUUUAUCCAUGUGGUGUUUAAACGAUGACUAUAUGCAGUUCAUAGAAAUUGUGAGGCGUAGAAAUGAUUCAAUCUUGAUUUUUUCAGUUUGAUUCAGAGCUAUUACCUGCUGCACAUACCUAUGUGAAAAUCUUACUCAAAGCAAUCCAAAAUUAAGCAGCAUAAUUUCUCACAGAUUUAUAUAAAUUCAGCGACAACUGCUGGGACAUGAGCUUCUUUCAUAUUAUCCUGCUUUUCUGCAUGAUUAAUUGGAGGUCCAUAAGGCAGUUCUAGCUACCUCUCUCUCGCUACCACAAGAACUUUCUCUUCAACAAGAAAAAACACAGACAGGAGCACAGAAAGUACACAGGAGAGCUGCAUUGUUAUUGAUAGAGGAAGGGCGUGAGCACACUAAUUGUGCAGUAAGAGGAGUGAAAUGGAAACGAUAAUGAAAAACAAAAAAGAAUGUUAAGAUCUCAUAAUAAGAUCGGGCACUAGCCACCACCCACAGAAGUAUACCUAUAGGAGGUCCUAAGGUACUAGCAUGCAUGCCAAUGAAUGUCACAUGCUUUGCCUAAUCUACAAUGCUUGGUUCGUCAUUCUUUUUUCUUAUAGUUCAUGAUUUAUUUUCAAUUAUGCAAUUUAGAAAAUAAGUAUGUUUAUUAUGCCAUUAUACCAUAUCAGUAUAGGUUAUGUAAAGAGAAGUCUGGUACAGAGUGGACUGUUCUGAAUGGCUUAUCGGAAGUGAGGUCUGCUCAUACUCAAGGAAGAUGAUGUGCAACCAGUGGAGAAGAUUAGAAUGAGAAUUCCAGUGAUACUAUGGAUUAGUGUCUAAAUACAAAAUUCCAUGAUUUGCUACUUAUAAAUUUAGAUUCCACUAUAACGUUGCUGGUGAUAGAUUAGUGCAACAUAUUCUUGUUAGUACUAGAUGGCUUUGAACUAUUUGGCUAAAAUUAUGUAUCCUUGGCGUCUUUCCUUUCUGCCCAAACAAUAAUGAUGAAGCAUUUUCACUCUUUACGAUACCCAGGUGCCAACAACAGGUGAGGAGGGAAUCAAUGCAACCCUUGCUGAGGAUCUCCAAUUCUUCAAAAGGUGAUCUUGAGAUCCAUUGUUGUUGGUGGUGUCAAUUUACUCAACAUCACUCCUUAGUACAUAGUUGGAUAUGUUGGCAAAAGUGUUAUUCUUUUCAUUUUUUUCAUGCAUGUUUAGGUUCUAAUGUUGAUGUAGGCAAGCAGCACCACUGUUUUUGUUCUUGUGGGUAUGUGUCUUGUACUCUUGAUGAAUUGUUUGGUGGUGAUGACCGGCUGGAAAUAUCGUUCUCUUUCGAAUCCAUAUGUAUUACUGGUUCUGGCAAACAAUUGGUGCUUCAUUAGUUUCUGUUUGAUAUACAUUCAUAUAUUCCUUGAAUAAACACCAAUGCAUGAGUGUUAACUUUCAGUUUUUGUGUAAUGCAUAGUACAUGAAAAGCAAUUAGUAGAUGACAUUUCUGUUGAAAAGCUGCUAAUUCAUGAUGUGCCGGUUGAUAUUAUCUGCUCCCCAACAUAGUUCAUCUUGAAAAAUACUAAGAUCCCAAGCCACAAGGUUUGACUUAUUCAUCUCACUUGGUAAACUUGCAAAUAGACCUUCCACCACCAGAUAUUGAAAAUAGCAAUGGGUAGCAACGCACGGACGUUCUAUUAGUUAGUAUUAAGUAUGUACUCCCUUCGUUCCUAAAUAUAACUCUUUUUAUAGAUUCCAACUCAUUUUGAUCCGUAUGUAGUUUGCAUUGAAAUAUUUAAAAAGACUUAUAUUUAGAAACAAAUGGAGUAUUUCUUUUAGGUAUAAUAACAAUCCGUGAUGUUUGAAGCGUUUGGCUCUGCUCGUGGGGAGAUGCCAGUGGGGUUUUUGGCCAGCCAGCCAGCCUCCCUCGCUCGCUUUGGGUUUGGCUCUGCUCGUGCUCGAUUUGGGGGAAUGGCGCACGCUGGACUCGGUGCACGGCUGUGGGUGAGAUCACGGGAGCGCCGCCCGCUCAUGGGCGUACGGGGACCCGGUUCACGGGAGCGCCCGAUGGGGAGAGGAAGGGAGCGGGGACUGGGCUGCGUGUUCGUCGCUGGGACGGUGGGGCCGAUGAUUGUGUAGUCUGUACGCACGGUCGAUGACAUGGGUGGCCCGCGGGCGAGCUGGGAGUCUCCACGGAGAAAUACUAGUGGUCGCUGGGUGGCGGGUAGAGACGGGGAGGGGUGAGAGUAGCAGUGGCAGCAGAGUGGUAGUGGGGAGGGGAGGUUACGUGCGUGGGUGGGAAUAGCGCGCCGAUCAAAGCUGCUCUGCUUGGACUUGGACUGCUACUCUNNNNNNNNNNNNNNNNNNNNNNNNNNNNNNNNNNNNNNNNNNNNNNNNNNNNNNNNNNNNNNNNNNNNNNNNNNNNNNNNNNNNNNNNNNNNNNNNNNNNNNNNNNNNNNNNNNNNNNNNNNNNNNNNNNNNNNNNNNNNNNNNNNNNNNNNNNNNNNNNNNNNNNNNNNNNNNNNNNNNNNNNNNNNNNNNNNNNNNNNNNNNNNNNNNNNNNNNNNNNNNNNNNNNNNNNNNNNNNNNNNNNNNNNNNNNNNNNNNNNNNNNNNNNNNNNNNNNNNNNNNNNNNNNNNNNNNNNNNNNNNNNUGCACAACUUUAGGCUUUUCUUUCUAUUAUGGAACAACUUUAGGCUAUUGAGAUAGUCCUAAAUCGUAUCACAAACUUAAUUCCACUCAAAAAAAAAAGAACUUCACAAACUUUUUUCUUUGCGAUAACAUAAUUUUUUUAGACUAUAAUGGGACAGAGGGAGUAGAUGGUAUUGUAAAACAUGAAUACGAUUUUAUUAUUACUAAAUCGUAUUUUUAAAACAUGAAUGUAAUAAUCUCAUAUUACUAAAUCGUUUCUAAAAAUUGUCGGGUUUUCUUAUAGUACCCACGGCUACGUUAGUCAAAAUCUUCCCCGCCUUCUACAUUCGAAACCCCCGGGUUCGUACACUCCAGUUUUCAACACCCAGAGUGCAUGCGCUCAAGUUCUGAAUUGCCCCAUCACAUGGUAGGAAAAAAAGAAAAAAGAAGUUUAUUUUCUAAACUUUUAUUAGUCUCCCAUCACACAAUACGAAAACAGAAAAACUCUAGAUCACAACAGUCCUUAUUGCAAAGGCUGCGGCUGACGCGGCGCAAGAUCAAACGGUUGUCUAGCACGCUAACGCCCCCAAAAACAAACAAGCAGUCACAGCAACCAACAAUUCGUUUUCUUCUACACCCAACACCGGUGAAUUUCAACUGGCAUAUUGAUCUAAAAUUACUUGCUACCCAAAAGUUUCCGAGAAUUCCAUCACAGUAUGCUCAAACAAAAAUGAGUGACCAGCUAUCACAACUACAUGUCCUCAGCUUUGAAACAACAGUAUGGGUUACUGUUAGUCUUACGAAAACAAAAAAGUUCAUGUCUAGGCACCCUCCUGAUGAGACAAAUGUCAAAGCAAUCACCCCAAACCAUCUCGCUUGCCACUUCCCUCCUGGGACGAAACCUUAGGAUCUAUUUUUUGGAGGUUUCACCUUGUAUAUGCGCACUAUCCAGUUUGAUGUUGUGAAUGCCUCCUCCAAGUACUCAAGCUUUAUGUCUUUGUUGCCUAUCUCCAC